rnacentral:lncRNA from 1 species
GAUCAAGUUUCAAGUGUGGACAUUUACUUCAGUAUGAGGAUGUCAAUUAUUAAACUAGCUUUCGUAUUGGUUUUCAUCUUUGCAACAGGUUAGUAAUUUUGUUUUACGCAACCCUGAUCAUUUCUCUUGUUGAAAUAUAUGGAUCCAAUUCUAUAUCGUAAAUUAUUUUCAUUAUACUCUAAUUAUUCAUCCAAAUUUGCUUGAAAUUUAUGAUAUGAAUUUUGUUCAUGUAUUAUUUAUGUGACUACAUAUAUGUGCAAAGAAUCAUAUGCGUGGGGUCCCAUUGUGCAUAUUCCUUGUAGCGCAGACAUACAGUGUGAAAAAAUUCAUGGUCCUGGUUGCGAAUGUAUUCACACAUAUUGUUGUCCACCGCCACCGUUUGAUAAACUGCGGAUCCAAGCAUCACAAGAAUGAGUAUCAAAAGUGUGUGUUGGAAUAAUAAAAUGUUGAUAAGGAUUGAUUACAUCUUAUUAUCAUGUAAUAUCAAAGCUUAUAAAGUCAUGUUAAAUAAAACUUAAGAUUUAAAUUUUUUUCCAUAAUCAUAAUGUUAUAUACAUAAGAUUACAUAUUAUCAUAGUUUAGAUAAUAUGUGAUGGUACGUAGUCUAAUUCAAAUUGAGACAGAGGCAAGUUCUUUCCUUUUGAAUCAGGUAGAUUGAUGUUGAAUUUUAGAAAUAUUUACUAUUCGAAAAGAGUAAAAACACAUUCCUUAUCGAAGAUUCAACUUUAUUUCUGAACAAAAUAAUUAAAUUUUUUUAUCAAACCUCUCUUUUUUCCUCAUAUUUCAAUAUUGGAUUGUCCUAUAUAGUAAAUGAUUUGAACUCAUAUUAUCACAAAUAUCCAAAUGUGUGUAUAUAUAUAAUGAAUAAAAUUUUUACUUUUAACAUUUUAUAAUCUUUCUUAUUGUAUUUUUUUUCAUUUUAUUUAAUAAAAAAAUUAUUACCAUAGAUAUGAGUAAGUAACACAUUCUAUUUUUGUGAAAAAUGUUUAUCUCAAAAGUAAUUAAAAAAUUUUUUUGACUACAAAUAAUAUUUUCCAUUGUCCAUACCAAAGAUGAAUAUACAUGGUUAAAAUUUGACAUGUAAAAUCAAUUGAAAUUAAAAUUCAAUAUGUGCUACUUAAUACUAAGAUCUAAAUAAAUAUAUUGAAAUUAUUAAUUUUUUUAAUUAUUAAAAAGAAACCAAAAUAGGUUGACAAAAAUUACAAUAGCCUCCAAACUAGCUUCCAACAUACUACUGUUGUGCAAGCCAAGAAGGUACUGCUAUUGGGAUAUUGUGCAGCAAUAUGUCAAAUAUGAAACUAAACUAUUUUUAUUCUCCCUAAAGUUGUAUGACUUGGCCCAACUCAGGUUCCUGAAUAAUAGUAUCCAUAUAGCUAGAGGUAUCAAAAUGGGCGGGUCCAGUCCGACCAGCCCACCAAAAGCCCAUAACUUUAUAGGAUUUUGGUAUCAUUUUAUGUACUUUUUAUUAAAUCCGAGCUUUUUAGCCUAGACAAGCCGGACUAUAUUAAAACUGAGCUCGAGUUGGGCUUACUCGGGCGGGUUUGGGCUACCUGCUUUUCCUUAAUUUUUAAUAUUUUUGGGACCUUUGGCUUGGUAAUAAACCUUAGGUAAAAAUUAUAUUAUAAAAUAACUUAUAACAAAAAAAUAUAUAAUAAAUUUGUAAGUUACUUGUGCAUUCGUACGGUGCAGUUCACUCUUACGCAUGUUUAAGAUCAAUAAUGUCUAAAGUAAAUUUAAAAAACAUAUAUGUAUCUAUUAAAGUAUAUAAGAAGAUAUGCAUUAAAUAGAUCGGUAUAUUUGAUACAAAGAUAUCAUCAUAUAUAUCAAAAGUGGAGUUGAUAUAACAAAAGAUGAUUGAAAUGACAUGUGCUAUGAUAAAUAUUGUGUUGUGAACUUUGAAUAAAAAAUAAAGUGAUGUCUAUAACAUAAAUAUUUAUAAAUUACAAUAAUGUUAUAAAGUUAAUAUUAUAUUAUUUUUCCUAUAUCGCAUAAUAUCUUUUUUAAGCACAAUAACAAAAUAGUGUAUCAAAUCAAUUGAGAAGACAUUAAACCAUGUAGAUUCCACUUUUCAUUUAUUAUUUAUGUAUUUAAUUAUAUUUAAAUUCUACAAAAAAAAUAUAAGAAAGAAAAUAACUUUUUUACAACUAAACUAAAACACAACAUAAUUGUUUACCAUAAGAACUCCACACAAGCAAAUUUAACAUAAUAGUUCACAAUAAAAGUAUUGAUAAAUAGCAUACAAAAGAUCUUCAUAUAGAAAGUAAAGAAUAACGAUCAUAUAUUAUAUUGAUAUACUUUAAGCAUUCUUAGCAAAAUAUCAAAGGAAAACAAGCUACCAUCAAGUACCUUGCUUCCCAAGCUACUCAUCAACACUCAUCAACUAAUGCAUCUAGUCUGCCUUUACUUCUCCAAUUCAUACUAAAUGCACCUGGAUACAUUAUAGCAUUCUCAUUCAUUGAUGACUCAAGCCUAGAUUAGAUGCACUUUCGUUUUCUUGUUAACCAAGAAAACCGAUUCUGUUAUAAACAUAUUUUCUUUCUUCUUCAAUGUAUAAAUACUAUCAAUAUACACCGAAUUCAAUUGAAUAAAGAGAUGAAUUCUUCUUCCUGUGGCAAAUUGCUAUAUGGUAUCAGAGCUUGUCUCUGAUUACCAAAGUUGUGCAAUAUAUCUCAAAUCUCUCAAACUCUUAUGCAAAUUCUGAAAAUUCCUUCUGCAUUUUUCUUCUGGAUUCUCUAAGACGAAACAGAUGAGUUUUGAAUCAGAUCGAGAAGCCUCUUCAUUCCUCAAUAACAAUGAUGUCGAGAGUCCAUUCUAUUUGCAUCCAGGUAAAAAUCCAGGAGCUGUCCUGGUCACACCUCCACUUGAUGGUGUGAAUUAUCAUGUCUGGUUUAGAGGUAUGAAACGAGCUUUACUUUCUAAAAAUAAGUAUAAAUUCGUUGAUAGAACAAUUGCUAUGCCUAAUUCAAUGGAUCCUGAGUUUGAUGUGUGGGAACGAUAUAAUAUCAUGGUGGUUUCAUGGAUUACUCGAUGUUUAUCUCCAAACAUAGCACAAAGUGUGGUGUACAUAGAAAAUGCAGAAGAGUUAUGGUUGGAUCUAAAGGAAAGGUUUUCUAAGGGAGAUUAUUUUAGAAUGUCAGAUGUUCUUCAAGAACUUCAUUCAAUUAAACAAGGUGAUAGAAGCAUUUCCAAUUACUUCACAGAUUUAAAAAUUCUAUGGGAAGAAUUAGAAUCAUUGAGAUCAUUACCUUCAUGUGUGUGCAUUGUGAAAUGCAAAUGUGAUAUGAUGAAAACUGUACAAAGUCAGAGAGACAUUGAGUAUGUGGUGUGUUUCUUAAAAGGAUUAAAUGAUGAAUUUAAUACCACUAAGGCUCAAAUUUUGUUGAUGGAGCCCUUGCCUUUGAUAAACAAAAUUUUUCUCUACAAGUUCAACAAGAGAGGCAGUUAAUUGGAAUGAAUUUCAUUGCUCCUAAAUCAAUGAUGCUGAAAGAUCUAAUUUCAGAUCAGGAAAUAGAGGUGGAUUUGGAAGAGGCUUUCUGCAAAAAAGAGGAAGGUACAAUGGUAGAGGUUAUGGAAGAGGAAUCUAAACCAAAGUGUGCACUUAUUGUGGAAAAGAAAGGAACACAAUUGAAAUAUGUUAUCUCAAACAUGGUUUUCCACCACAUUUCUAGAGCAGCAGAGGAAAACAAAGCACUGGUGAUGUCAAUAGUGCUAUAAAGAUUGAUUCAGAACCAUAAGAACAGAUGGAUUCAUUGCCACUUGGUAAUCACAAACUUUCACCCAUCCUUAAUUUCAAUGCUGAACAAUGUGAUCAACUUGCAGCCUUGCUCAAAAACUCCACUGAGUCAAACACUACCACUGAUAAUGUCAAUCAGAUAAGUCAUAUUCCUGAUAGUGAGUUGCAAAUUCACAAAGGUGAUUGUUCAGGUAAAUCAAAAAAUUGGAUCUUAGAUUUUGGUGCCACAGAUCAUAUAUGUCAUAACCUUUCAUUGUUCAUGUCCUAUAAUUCUAUUAAGCCUAUCCAUGUUAAAUUGCCUAAUGGAACUAUCAUACAUACAAACUUCUCUGGAUCUGUAAAAUUUUCUGAUUCACUAAUACUAUAUGAUGUCUUGUUCAUUCCUAGUUUUAAGUUCAAUCUCAUCUCAAUUAGCAAAUUAACCAAGUCUCUGAAUUGUCAACUGAUUUUUUCUGAUUCAAAUGUGUAAUUCAGGAUAUGAUUACAUUGAAGAUGAUUGAAACUGCUGAAGUGAGAAAUGCUCUAUAUGUGAUUAGCACUACUGUUUUCUAGGCCAAAUCCAAGCUUCAAAAACACAACGUAAACACUGCCUUUCAAGCCAAACAUAAUAAUAAGCCUCAGUUUCAUUUAUGGCACUUCAGACUAGGGCAUCCAUCAAUAUCUGUGUUGCACAAUGUAUGUAAAAGGUUUUCAUAUGUAAAAACUGAUAACAAGAUAGCUUGUGAUCAUUGUUACUUAGCAAAACAGUCCAGGUUACCUUUCUUGAGUCAGAAACAUAGAAGUCCUAAUUUGUUUGCAAUUGUUCAUAUGGAUAUAUGGGGUCCUCUUUCUAUUAGUUCAAUACAUAGACACAAAUAUUUUCUUACAGUAGUUGAUGAUCAUAGUAGAAACACAUGGACCUUUUUAAUGAAAUCAAAGGCUGAAACAAGAAUAUUGAUGCAAAACUUUAUAACCUUUGUUAAGAACCAAUACAAUAAAACAGUAAAAAUAUUAAAAAUUGACAAUGGAAUUGAGUUCAAUGAUUCACAGUUUUUUAGCAACUUGGGCAUUAUUCAUCAAACCUCAUGUACUGAAACUCCUCAGCAGAAUUCAGUGGUUGAGAGAAAGCAUAGACAUCUUCUUAAUGUCACUAGGGCCUUGCUGUUUCAAUCAAAUUUGUCUCAGCAUUAUUGGUCAUGUGCUUUACAACAUGCUACUUUUCUCAUAAAUAGAUUACCAAGCAGAAUUCUUGAAAAAAAAUGUCCUUAUGAGGUUUUGCAUCAAACAAGUCCUAACCUAUCUGAUAUUAGAGUCUUUGGUUGUCAAGCAUUUGCCACUACAAGUCCUCAUAACAGAUUAAAACUAGAGGCAAGGUCAAGGAAGUGUGUGUUUCUAGGAUAUAAAUUAGGAACAAAUGGAUUUAUUCUUCUAGUCUUGCAUAGUAGACAAAUUUUUGUAUCUAGAAAUGUUAUAUUUCAUGAAAACAUUUUUCCUUACAUUGUGCACAGUGAAUUUAGUACUGAUACACUACCCUCAUCCAUUCCUUGUGAUACUAGCAAGACCAAUGAUCUUUAUUUCUUAGAUAUUAACCCUACUGAUCAUUCAAACACUAAUAGAACAUCUUUGGACCACCCUAUCCUACAAACCUCACCUACACUUAGUAGACAUUCAUUACCAAAUAAACCUCAUCAACAAAACCAUUCUCUUUCACCUUCCUACCAAUCCACACCAACCUCUAAUAACAUUCCAACAUCAACUGAGGCUAGUACCUCUCUAUUACCAUUACACACUAGAAAAUCAGAUAGGUUAAGACAUCCUCCAAUAUAUCUUAGAGAUUUUCACUGCAACAUUCUCACUUCAUCUCCUCCAUCAUCACAAAAAGGUAUUUCUCAUCAUCUAUCAUCUAUUUUGUCAUACACAACCAUUACACAACCAUGUCUUGGUCACAUUUUGUCUAUAACUACCAAUGUUGAACCUAAACACUAUAGUCAAGCUGUUAAAAUUCCUCAUUGGGUCAAGACUAUGCAAGCUGAAUUAAAUGCACUGGAAUUAAACAACACUUGGAGUUUGGUUGACUUACCUAGUGACAAGGUUCCCAUUGGUUCCAAAUGGGUUUAUAGAAUCAAAUACAAGUCAGAUGGUAUCAUAGAGAGAUAAAAAGCCAGACUAGUUGCCAAGGGUUAUAAUCAAACCGAAGGGAUUGAUUUCUUUGAUACAUUUGCACCAGUUAUCAAACUUACAACUGUGAGAUUAUUGUUAGACAUUGCAGCAUCUCAAAACUGGUUGCUUCAUCAACUUGAUGUAAACAAUGCCUUUUUGCAUGGUGACCUAGAAGAGGACGUAUACAUGGCAAUCCCUGAUGGUGUUCUCACUAAAAAACCAAAUCAAGUCUGCAAAUUGCAUAAGUGUCUUUAUGGACUUAAACAAGCAAGUAGGCAAUGGUAUAACAAAUUGUCCUCUACUUUGAUCUCUAUUGGCUAUAAACAAUCUACUCAUGAUCACUCCUUAUUCACUAAGAAGAACAACUCAAAAUUCACUGCCUUGCUUAUAUAUGUUGAUUAUCUGAUCCUCGGUGGCAAUGAUCCUAAGGAAAUUUCAUUUGUGAAACACUAUCUUGAUUCUGAGUUCAAAAUAAAGGAUUUAGGUACAUUGAGAUACUUUCUUGGUUUGGAGGUUGCUAGGUCUCAUGUUGGGAUUACUCUUUGUCAAAGGAAAUAUGCCCUUGACAUAUUAUCUUAUACUGGUUUUCUUGCCUCAAAACCCGUCUCUACUCCUAUGGUUAAAACCACCAAACUUCAUCAAGAUCCUUCUAACACACUGGUUGAUCCAGUCUCCUACAGAAGACUAGUUGGUAGACUAUUAUACUUGACAAAUACACGACUAGAUUUAUCCUACUCUGUGCAUCAAUUAAGUCAAUUUUUGACUAAUCCUACAACCAUGCACCAUCAAGCUCUCACUCGAGUAUUGCGAUAUAUUAAAGGAUCCCCUGGUCAAGGCCUUUUCUACUCCUCCAAUUCUUCUCUUCAACUUAAGGCUUUCAGUGACUCAGAUUGGGGUGCAUGCCUUGAUUCAAGGAAAUCAAUUUCUGGUUACUGUGUGUUCCUUGAUCACUCUCUGAUUUCAUGGAGAACUAAGAAACAAACCAUUGUUGCUCGUUCUUCCUCAGAAGCUGAGUACAGAGCUCUGGCUGCAAUUGCUUGUGAGCUUCAAUGGCUGACUUAUCUAUUGACCAACUUCCACCUCUCCUUCUCUGAUCCUACUGUUUUGUAUUGUGACAAUGAUUAUGCAAGACACAUUGCUUCUAAUUCAGUGUUCCAUGAGAGAACUAAACACAUUGACCUUGAUUGUCAUGUUGUUAGAGAACGAUUGCAGGCUAAACUCUUCCAUCUUCUACCUAUUCCUUCUACUGAACAGUUGGCUGACAUUCUCACAAAGCCCUUGGAUCCAUCCCAUUUUCACUAUCUUCUUGCCAAGCUGGGAAUCAUCAAUCUCUAUUCUCCAGCUUGAGGGAGGCUAUUGAUAUACUUUAAGCAUUCUCAGCAAAAUAUCAAAGGAAAACAAGCUACCAUCAAGUACCUUGAUUCCCAAGCUACUCAUCAACAUUCAUCAACUAAUGCAUCUAGUCUACCUUUACUUCUCUAAUUCAUACUAAAUGCACCUGGAUACAUUAUAGCCUUCUUAUUCAUUGAUGAAUCAAGCCUAGAUUAGAUGCACUUUUGUUUUCUUGUUAACCAAGAAAACUGAUUCUGUUAUAAACAGAUUUUCUUUCUUCUUCAUUGUAUAAUUACUCAUCAACGUACACCGAAUUCAAUUGAAUAAAGAGAUGAAUUCUUCUUCCUGUGGCAAAUUGCUAUAUAUUACGAUGGUUAUUAUACUUUGACAUAUAUAUUUCAUUCUAAACUUGUGUCAAUAUUACCAUUACUAUAAACCGAAACGAUAAUAUUUUGAUAGUAUCCAAAUGUAUAUAUAUAUAUAUAUAUAUUAAAGUGAAAUUACAAAUUAUAUUGUGUUAGGGAGUCAGAGUCCAAUAGAAAUGAGAGAUUUAGUAUGUGUUAUGUUAAAAAUCAUAUAUGUGGACUUGAAAUUACGUCUGAACUCAAACACAAGACAUUAGAUCUAUAAGUUUGGUUGUAUUUGGUAUAACAAGUGUGUUAGAAAAGUUAUACAUUAAUAUCAAAUGAUAUAUAUAUAUAUAUAUAUAUAUAUAUUAAAUAGAUUAUAUAUGUUAAAAUUUAAAUAAAUAUUUUUUAGUAUUAUCCGGGCCCGCCCGCCACAACCCGCAAUUCUCUUAGGGAAGGCUUCAGCUACAAUUUGAUAAGGAUAAAUUGUAUCCGAGCUUUUUAUCCCGAACCCGAUGUGGGCUAGGUCGAACCCGUUUGGUAGUCUGUUUUGACACCUCCACAUACUGCAUAUGUUCUUUGGUCUUGAAAGGAUGAAUCCGAAUGGUGGUAAUUUGAUGAGAAUCAUUUAGUAUGGCCUGAGAAGUGCUUGAACCCAUUGGGGUAAGCACUUGGAAAGAUUCUCCUACGAUCAAUCCAAUAUGUGAGAGAUAUAUAGAGUAUCAGAGAAUAAUAAGCAAGAGAAAAUGUUAAAGAGUUAAUAAGUAUGUGUAUAUCAUGUGAGUUCCGUUGUAGAUGAGGUUGGUUUGAUCGAUCAAAUGGUAUGUUGGGUCUAUCCUGGACAAACAAAGAUUGCUUUUCCCAUGUCUUGUAGCUUUGGAAGAUCUGUACUUGGUGGAUAGUUGUCUAUUGCUCAUAUUGGAAUGAAUCAUUAUGUUAUUAGUCUAUCUUGUCUGAUCUUGAGAGAUACAAUCACUACGCCAGAAUAGCAAAACUACAACACUUAAAAUUGUCAUUUAACAAAUUUUUUGAGAUGCUUUCUAUGUGAGCGCAAUAGUACAUAAGGUUAUAUUUAACAUCAUUUUUUGAAGCGUUGUAGAAAGUAGACAUUUAACAGCGCUCACUGAAGCAAGCAUUGUAAAAUGUCUACUUUCUAAAUAAGACAAUAUAUCUCCCAAACAUUCUAUCAAAUACAUGACAAGCAUGUCCAACUCUACCACAUUUACAAUAGAUUUAUUGAAUCAUCAAUGACUUCAACUACAUUCAACCUUAUCAGAUUCCAAUAUUAUAAAAUAACAUAUGAGUAAUGAGAUCUUACUCAAAUUGUUCAUUCUUUCUCCUCCAAUGUGAAAGUCCUUACUUAGUGUUCAUGUGUUCCUCAAUGAUUAUUGCAAGAUGCAAAUACAAAUAAAAAAUUGUAUCUCUAAACAAAUUGAAAAAGUUAUAAAAAAUAAAAAAUUAGCAGCAAUUGAGAAAAAACAUUUACCAUUAUACUCAAACUCUGUGUUCUAAACUAGUGAAUCAUAGCCACAAAACCUAGAACACUAUAGUUGCAUAACUUCACAACAAAUAAAGAUCACACUAUUAGUGAAAUAUUUUUACCAAAUUGAUCAUAAAUAAACUAAUUAUUUAAAAAUAUAAUGAUUCAAAUGCAUCAAAUACUUUUUAUUUAUGGUGUAAAUGCAAGCUUCAAGACCGAAUAAAAAAGAAAUAAAUGAGGUAAAAUAAGAUAGCGAUUUACCUUAGGCUUGAAGAGAAAAACCAAAAACCGAUAACUUGCUUGAAGAGAGAAACUAAAAAAAAGGGGAAAAAAUGUAACUCAUUGAGCAGAAGAAAAGUAAGAGAAAUAAUAAUUUGAGUGAUAUGUUUAUUAUUGUGUGUGAAGUUUUGUUUUUGAAUUUGAAAAGAUUAUCGCUCACUAAAACAAGCGUUUAACAACACUCACUAAAGAAAUGAUGUUAAAUAUACGAAUGAAUGUAUGAUCUUUAACAACGCUUAUUGAAGAAGUGUUGUUAAAUAUAUGAAGUAUGACCUUUAACAGCGCUUUCUUCAAUAAACGUUGUUAAAGAUAACACCUUUAACAGCACAACGCUCAUUGAAGAAGUGAUGUUAAAUAUAUGAAUGUAUGAUCUUUAACAGUGUUAGCUUCAAUAAGUAUUGUUAAAGAUAACACUUUUAACUACGAUAAUUGAAGAAGUGUUGUUAAAUAUAUGAAGUAUGACCUUUAACAACGCUUUCUUCAAUAAGCAUUGUCAUAGAUAACAUCUUUCACGUCACGUGCUUCAAUAAGCAUUGUUAAUUAUCUUCUUCCUUACAUUUAAUAGUGUUCAGCAUUCAAGCGUUGUUGAAUGGGCAUUGUUAAAUAUUAAUUUUGGCGUAGUGAAUUUUUGUUGAGAGGAGCAAUAGGGUGUAGGUAGCAUGCAACACAUAACAGAGGUCUAGGCUGUUCAAUCUGAGGUGAUAGUUGUAUGCAGGUGGCACAACAUAGGGGUAGUAGGGUGGGCCCCGUGUUGUCUUGUCAUUGAUAGAAAACUUCAUCGUGUUGCUCGGUCUUUUUGGUCUCUAGCCCAAGAGAGCUUAGGGACUACCCUUCUUGAUUGUUUUAUGAGGUUGUAUGUCUACCUUGUUCGAUCAAGACAUGUGUUUUUGGUGUGAGAUGGAACAACAAAACUCAUUCUUGAGGUCCUGAAGAAUCAUAGUAUAUGUGAACUCUAUCUUCAAACCUUGCACUAUUGACAAACUUUUCCUUCUGAUACCUUGCUGAACCAGUACAUAAACAUGUUGGAAGAAUGAAGAAUGUUGAAAGAAAGUAGAGAAAGAAAAUUUGCAGAGUGAAAUCGUGUAUAGAGACAAUAAGAAAGAGAGAAAGAAAAUGCAGAUAGUGUAUAGAAGAGUAUAUGAGAGAGUAAAUUGUAUAUACUAAAUAAUAUUUGUUGUAGAUUUCCCAAUGAUUCAACUAAGGAGUACAAUUGCUAUUUAUAGCCAAAGUGCUUGGGAAGCAGUUGAGGAUGCUACAAUAUACUCUACUUAACAAGUUGAUAGGGCCACAAUUGACUGCUUCUUUGAGCUCCAAGUUAUAGGUGAGCCUGAUAGUAGGAAUAUAUGUUCCAUUGUGCUUUUUCUAUCAACUAAGUCUCCCAUCAAUUUGAACUUGAGUAUGCUACAAGUUUGAGAUUGAUGUCACUAUUUCCUUGAUGAGUUGAAAACAAGAUUCCAUAUCCAACAUAUUCUUUGAGGUAUCUCAUGAUCCUCUUAGCUGCUAGUAAGUGUGAUUACCUUGGAUCACUCAUGAAUCUACUAACUAGGCCCAUACUGUAUGCAAGCUCUGGUUUGCUGUCACAGAUAUAUCAUUGGCUGCCAACAAUAUGUCUAUAUAUUGUUGCAUUUACUGCAGCUUCACCUUAUUCACUUGUGAAUUUUAUAUAAGGUUCAGCUAGAGUUUCUGUUGGAUUGCAGCCACUCCUGUUCCUUAGCACUUCUAAGAUGUAUUUAUUUUUGUGCAUUAAAAUUCCUUCUACAUAGUAUGAAAAUUCUAAUCUUAGGAAGUAGGAUAGAUUUCCCAAGUCAGUCAUCUCAAACUCAUUCUUCAGGCUUUGCUUCAAUGACUCAUUGCCUUAUGCACAACUCCCAAUGAGUACAAGAUCAUCAACAUACAAAUAUAUGAUUAUUAUGUCAGUUACACUUGACAUAUUGACAUACACUCCAUGUUCUACUGAACAUUUCACAAAGCCAACACUAUUGAGGAAAGAGUCAAUCCUUUUAUUCUAGGCUCUAGGUGCUUGCUUCCAGCUACACAAUGCUUUCUUUAUUUUGAGUACCUUCUGCUCAUGUCCUUUUCCUAUCAAGCCAGAAGGCUGUGCUAUGAAUACCUCUUCAUCAAGUGGUACAUUCAAGAAUGCUGAUUUUACAUCCAAUUGCCACAGCUUCCAUUUUUUUCAAGCUAGCAAGUGCCACAAUCAACCUCAAAGUUUCUAUUCUGGCCACAACAACAAAUACUUCUGAAUAGUCCAAUCCCUCUGUUUGCAUAAACCCUUUGGCCACCAACCUAGCAUUGUACUUGGGAAUUGAUCCAUCGGGCCUAUGCUUUACCUUGAAAACCCACUUAACAACAUUAGGUUUCUUGUUCUGAGGCAGUUCUACCAUAUCCCAAGUAUGGUUCUUUUCAAUGCUCUUUAGUUCUUCUCCCAUUGCUUUUGUCCAUACCUUGCUGGAAAUGGCUUCUUCAAUUCCAAUAGGUUCAGAAUCAGCCAUUAAAGCUAGAUGUUGAAUUAGGUCACCUUCUUUAGUGAUGGUGCUAUUAGAGUAGACUUGAUAAUCAGAAAGUCUAGAUGGGAUAUUUUUAGUUCAUGUUUGUCUACCAUCAGUCAUGUGUUGAUGCUCAAUAUUCACUAUCUCCCGAGUGAUCAACUUUUCUAGACCAACUUUAUCCCAUUCUAUGUGCACCCUUGGAAUUAUACUAGUUUUAGGUUGUGCCUCACACUAGGAAUUGGACUCAUCAAAAUAUACAUCUCUGCUGAAAAGGACUUGGUUUGUCUUGGGGCUGUAGAGUUUGUAUGCUCCACUAGAAUUGUAUCCCCCAAAUAUCAUAGGCUCACUUUUAUCAUAAAGUUUCCUUCUUCUUUGAUCCGGAAUAUUAACACAAUGAGCCAAAAACUCUAAAUUUCUUGACUGAUGGCUUGAAUCCACACCAAGCUUCCUCUAUAACCAUGGAAUCCAGCCACUUUGUUGGGCACUUGUUGAGGAUAUGGGCAGCGGUCAUGACUGCUUCACCCUAGAAGCUUAGUGGAAGAUUUUUUCUGCUUGAGCAUGCUUCUCACAAUGUUUAGCAUAGUUCUAUUUCUUCUUUCUAUGAUCCCAUUGUGUUGGGGAGUGUAGGGGGAUGUAUCUUCACUAACUAUCCCAUGCUUCUUGCAGGAAUCUUCAAACUCUCCAUAUAUAAACUCUCUUCCACCAUCAGUUCUCAGAGUUGUGAUGCACUUUCCUGAUUGCUUCUCCACCAAAAUAUUGAAGGUUUUGAAGGUUGGAAAUGCAUUACACUUGACCUUGAUCAGAUACAACCAUAAAUUUCUGCUGAAGUCAUCCACAAAUAGGUCAAAACAUCUAUUUCCUCAUAGUGAUGGAACAUUAAGUGGCUCACACACAUCUGAGUAUAUAGUAUGUAAGACAUCACUAAUCUUAGACAUUGUGUAGAUACUGAAUCGUUUUCUAGGUUGUUUACUGAUUAGGCAAUUACCAAAGACAUUCUUUUGGUUCACUAGUGAUGGAAGUCCAUGGAUCAUAUUUGUUGAACUAAGUAGUCCUGGGUCUUUAAAAUUUAAAUGGCCUAGACUAAGGUGCCAUAAGCAAGAGUCAUCAACUAAGGUAAUAUCUGAAAAGAAGCCAAUAUCCAUGGUGUUUAGGCUUACUUGAAAAGUCUUGUUUUGAGCUAGAUGGACUUUUAUUAUCCUUUUUCCAGCAGCACUAGAAAUUUCUAUAGCUCCAUUAGAAAUAUUGAUCUUGAAUCCCCUUUCAAUAAGCUGCCCCAAACUAAUUAGGUUGUUCCUCAUACCAGGGACAUAUAGAUAUGAUUGCACUGCCUCCAUCAUUUCUUUUAAUCAUCACAUUUCUUGUACUUUCAGCCAUGAUGAAUUUGUUAUAUGCAAACCUCACUUUACUCUUCUUUCCUUCAUCAAAUUCCAUAAGCCAUUCUCUAUGACCUGUCAUGUGAUUGGAGUAACCUGAGUUUAUGUACAAAACUUCAUUGCUAUCCACUUCUUAGUUGGUAGUCAUCAUUAACAAGAUUAGUUGUUCUCAAGGCUUACUUAUGUGUCUUCCUUGGCCAUAUUAGCCUAAUGGCUUGUGUUUACUAUGUUUGCUCUAUGAUCACUUUGGUUGAAUGCUACACACUAAUUGGAGUAGUGUCCAAUUCGAUUGCACUUGAAGCAUUUGACCAUUUUCUAGUCAAAUAUCUUCUUACCCCCUCUCCAAGUGUUAUAACCUUUUAUGAUGGUAUUGUCUAAUUGAUCCUGAUCAGACUUAAUCUGUCCUUGGGAUUGUGAACUUCUGUAAGAACCAGAUCUGGAAUCCUUUCCUUGAUUCCAACCAUUAUGUGUUCCUUUUGCAUUGUAGUUACUCAUUCCUGAAACUUGAGUUAACAAAGCUUGACUUUUAUGAUGGUAUUGUCUAAUUGAUCCUGAUCAGACUUAAUCUGUCCUUGGGAUUGUGAACUUCUGUAAGAACCAGAUCUGGAAUCCUUUCCUUGAUUCCAACCAUUAUGUGUUCCUUUUGCAUUGUAGUUACUCAUUCUUGAAACUUGAGUUAACAAAGCUUGACUUUCAAAAUGCUUCUCCAUGCUUCUUUCAUUUAUCCUCUACUUAUGUACUUUUAAGGAACGCUGCAACUUUUCUACUUUCAAAUCCUCCAAUUUUUGGAUACUUCAAUAGCAACCACAAUGUGGUCAAAUUUAGGAUUGAGGAUUCUUAGUAUCUUCUCAACAGUUGUCUGAUUUGAGAUUGGUUCUCCACAUGGCUUCAUUGCAUUGGUGUGAGUAACUAUUCUGUUGACGAACUUAGCCACUUUUUCGUUGUUCUCCAUUUGCAUCAACUCAUAUUGACGCAUGCAAUCUCACUUUCUUGAGUUGUUCAGCUUCUUCACUAUAUUUUUACAGAAUUCUCCAAGCUUCUUGUGAAGUUACAACUCUUGCAAUCUUCUCAAAAUGAGCCUCAUUAAGACAUUGAUGGAGUAAGAACAUGACCUUGCAAUCUUUCUUCCUAUUUUCUUUGUAAGUCACCAUUUGUGCCUCGAUGGGGUUUGCAGGAAGAUAUGAGAAUCCCUCUUCUAUAUGAGAAUCCCUCUUCUAUAAGUUCUUUGUAAGUCACCAUUUCAUGCUCCUGAAGCUUUCCAAAAAGAGUCGCCAAAGGCAUGGAGUCUAGAUCCUUGGAUUCCAUGAUUGCAGUCACUUUAGGUUGCCAUCUCCUAUCAAGGCAACGUAAGACUUUAUUAGUGAGUUCUCCUCUGGUAAACAUUUUAUCUAGAGCAAUGAGAUGAUUAAUAAUGUGAGUGAAUCAUUUUUGCAUAUCGCCAAUCGAUUCACUCGGUAGCAUACGAAAUAAUUCGUAUUCAUGGGUUAGCGCGUUUAGCCUGGCGCGUUUGACUUCGCUUGUGCCUUCGUGAGUCACUUGUUUAGUGUUCCACAUUUCCUUGGCAUUUUGACAUUGAGAGAUCCGAAAGAACUCAUCGUAGGAUAGGGCUGAGGUUAUGAUGUUUUUGACGUGAAGGUUGAAUUGAACCUUCUUGCGUUCCUCAUCGGUCCAUAGACUCUUAGGUUUUUAUUUCGGUUAAAAAUUCACUAAGUGAAGUGGAACGAAAGGGCCAUUGAUCAAGGAUUCCCAAAUAUCCGAAUCAAUAGCCUCGAUGAUGAUUUUCAUCUGGACUUUCCAGUAGGCGUAACGUUCGCCACUGAAUACGAGAGUGCGGUUAAUGGAUGCGCCAUCACUGCCAAAGGGAUUGGUGGAACCCAUUUUAAUUCCCUUAGGAUCACGAGGAUGCAGUUGAGCUAGCACGUCGUACUAGCUCUGAUACCACUUGUUAGGUAUUAAUGGUCUAGGAACACCUAGAAGGGGGGGUUGAAUAGGUGUGGCGGUUAUAAAAUUACCGCUUUUUAGAAACAACCCAAAUACUGGAAAAACUGCCCAGUUAAUCGAUUAACAGAAGGGCUUAAUCGAUUAACACAGUUACAGAACAGAUUAACAGAACAAGUAAUUUGCACGACAAAUAAGAUACACUUUAAACAGAUAUAUUUCAGAUAUUAUUGCAUAAAAGUGUUAACGAUAUAGCAUUAAACAGAUAUCCAAAUUCUCAAGUAUAUAUUCAGUGUAUCAAUGCAAGAAACAGAAACAAGAUAAAGAAAGAAAGAACAGUGCAAAAGGAUUUUUAUCCUGGUUCGUUUGCGGUCCACUGCAAACUACAUCCAGGCCUCCCCUUCUGGAUCAGGAAGAUUUUCUUUCUUCGCAAUAUUGAAUUAAGAUACAAUUACCAAUUCAAUUUACAAGCACAAGGGAUGCUCCCUUCUUGAAAUCUAGGAUCUCUAAAAUCUGGUUUGACUUCUACCCUUUCGCCUCUUGAGAAAACCUUUCUCACGAAUAAGCCCCAGCCAAGAAUCUUAUCCUUAAAUCAAGACCUCCCUACCUUGGUGAAGAACUACAAUCUCUGCGGUGAUUUCACACCAAGAGACAAAUCCAGACUACACAACACACGUUAAAAUCAAUGUAUUCUAAGCACAUAAAGCCUAAGAUAUUACAAUGUAAAGACUAACGAUUAACCCUUAUCCUAAUCAAUUAAGCCAUCAAUAUAAAAGUGAGUUAAUCAGAAUACAGUAUACAACAUGUUUCUUUCAAUCAGAAUCUAAUGCAUGAUCAUGUGAGCAAUAUCAAAUGAAUAUCAAAUUUUGCAGAAACAUAAAGCAUGUUACAGAAAAACAGCAUAAUCUCUCUUCUCACACAUGCAACUCUCAAGCAAAAUAACAGUGAAAAAUCGAAUGCAAAUGCUCUCUAAUAGAGCCCUAAACCAAUAGAAUGAAUGCAUAUGAGUUGUCACACCGCGAAUUUUACGAUUUUGAAUUAUAAGAUUUUAUUAAUAUUUUUUUUAUUAAUUAUAAAUUCGAAAAUGAAUUUCUGGGAAUUUUCGGUAAAGAAUUAGACGAAACUCUAGUUGAGUUUUAGCCUUGUAAUUUAAUUUCUUAUUUUAUGGUAAAUUUUGGUAAUUUUCGGAGACAGUCGGUUCUGAACCACUGUCGGGGCCGAAAUCCACUCGGUACGGCUCAAAAAGUGGUUUUUGAGUUGCGUAACUCGAAAUCGAAUUCCGAUCGCGCCUUUGGCUUCGUAAUUUCAUUUCGAGUCAAUAUAGACCCACAAUAGACCCAUACCUAUUUUUUAAGUAUUUUUCACUCGGAAUGCCGAAAUAUGAAAUUCUAAUCGGAUAUUAGGAUCGGGCGAUUUAUAAUACCCGAACGAGUAUUGACCGGUAAUACUUGGAAAUGUUUAUCGCACGUGUCCACAAGGUGAUCAUUUCGCAUUGGGAUGUGAGAUUUGACUUCCAUAAAGCAAAUCUCACAUCACUUUCUCAAAUAUCCCAUGAGCUCAUCAUUAGCCACCCUAGGGAUUUUUUGAUGAUUGCCUAGAGGGGAUUUCCCUCUCCCCUUAAACCCUCACACUCUACACUUCACUCUCUCACUCUUGCAUUUUCUAAGAGAAGGUAAAAACCUCUCUUCAUUUUUCUCUCAUUUCUCCUUUCUUCUUCCAUCUUCAAACCUUGAUCUCUCAACAUUCAACCAAUGGAUGUUGAUGAGAUUUAAGUAUGAUGUCCAUGAGCAUGUCAAGAACAUAUUCAACGGUUGAAAUUUUCUAAAAAGCUUUCUAACUCAUUUUCUUCUCAAAACCGAAAAUAGUGAUGUUCUUGAACUUAUGAAAAUAUUUUGUUGAAACCAUGAACCACUUGUGUUCAUGGAGUUGUUAUAGUGUUUUAUUACAUGUAUUUUGUUGUUUUAGCCAAAGGGGAUGAUGAUGAAAUCAAAGGGACCUUUAGGAAGUGUUUUGGAAAAAUAAGAAUGUAUGUAUCUCUAGUUGUUUUUAGCCUUAAACCAUGGCUUGGAACAAGUUGGAAAAAUAGAAACUUUUGUUAAAAAUGAUGUUAAGGUUUAUGAGUACAUGGAUGCCUCAUAAAACUCUUAAAUUAUACUUUGAAUAACUUACUUUAAAGUGGUAAGAUUAUCAAAGAAUGUCUUCAAUCAGAAUAUGUAGUUUUACAAAAAACCGUACGUUUAAAAUGGAUGGAAAUCGUGAACGGACUUUCGAUGAAAAAGGAUGGUCAAGAACACGUGAUGUUGGACCGGAUGGAUGAAAUGGAUGUAUGAUCACGAUGGGAAAAAGAGAAAUGAUUUUAAGUAUUUUAUUAACAACUUUUGAAAUAUCAGAAACUAACAAAUUUCUAUUUUGGUAGUUACAAAGAUUUCGGUGUUCGAACCUUGAAACCAAACCACCCUUAGACGACAAGUAAAGCACGCUUCAUUAAGGUGAGAGAGAACACACCGUGACAUAGUGGUGUCCGAAUAUGACACCCGGAUCUUCAAAACCAUCUCAAAGGUUUUGGGGUUAACUUGGGUUCUUUUGAAUAUAUAUGAUUGUUCAUGAAAUGUGUUGAAUAUUGUAUAUGAAUUUUGAUGGGAACUUUUCUGAGUGCAGGUGUUUGAAAAACUAUGUUUAAAUGUGUUUCGGUUGUCGAAAAGGACAAAAGUUGGUAUUCUGUCCAAGUCCCUGUCGCUUGGGCGAGAAACUCUCGCGUGGGCGAGCACAAUCUCGCUUGGGAAAGGACUGGGCGAGGGGAAGUUUUCGUUCUGGAACUCCCUCGCCUGGGCGAGAAAGCCUCGCUUGGGCGAGCAAGGGUCCCGCUUAGGCGAGAAAGCCCAGGAUUUCGAUGAAAUUCUAGAAAUCUCUCGCCCGGGCGAGCAAAAGCUUCGCUUGGGCGGAAAAAAAAACCCUCAAGAUUUCAAUGAUGUCUCGCUUGGGAGAGGAAGGCUUAAGUUUAACUGAGAUUUAAAGAUGAAUUGUCGCUUGGGCGAGAGGGCCACGCUUGAACGAGAGAUACCCAGUUUUAAAAUGGUAGUGUUGAUUGAAUUUUCGCUUGAGCGAAGGGUCUUCGGUUGGGCGAGAGAUAGGAAUUGUGUUUGACUAUUUGGAUUGAUUGGUUGAGUAUGUAAUNNNNNNNNNNNNNNNNNNNNNNNNNNNNNNNNNNNNNNNNNNNNNNNNNNNNNNNNNNNNNNNNNNNNNNNNNNNNNNNNNNNNNNNNNNNNNNNNNNNNGCGAGAUCGUCUGACCGUAAGUGGCUUGGUCUAGGACCGUCCAGGGUGAUUCAGCGAUGGUCGUAGUGGUAGGGAAGUUACCCUUUGAGUUAUGAUGUGAAUUAGGGCACUGCCAAGAAAGGAACCCAUGAUACCACGUAGCAAGAUCGGCUGGUCGUAAGAGGCUUGGUCUGGGACCGUCCAGGGUAUUCAGCGAUGGUCGUAGUGGUGGGAUGUAUUUCCUUUAUAUUACUUGUUAACGUAAGAUCGGGACCUAGAAGAAGCAUUCCUGAGGGAGAUGACUUAAGGUGGGCCGAGCAUGGUAAAUAAUGAUUAAAAGAUUUAAUCAUCUAACUGCGGUUAGUGUUCAUAUGCAUAUGGUUAAUUAAUGGAGUAGUGGAGAGGAAAUUGACGAGAUGACUUAGAGCACCAUGAAGUAAACAGGGAUGGCACUGAUUGGACGGUGAUUCGCCAACAAUGUCUUGAGGGAGAGUCUGGGUGAGACGAGUCCCUUGUAUUCCUGGGGAGGUACCCUGUUGGAUCGGAUAGUUCUCACAAACCAAACUAGACAAUCUCUAACAACCUCUAGAUUGCAUUCGAGAUCAAUGAGAGGGAUGCCCAAAAAACGUUUGUACGACCUAGGUCUGGGUAGGACUGUUCCUGAGGGAACCGAUCGAUCNNNNNNNNNNNNNNNNNNNNNNNNNNNNNNNNNNNNNNNNNNNNNNNNNNNNNNNNNNNNNNNNNNNNNNNNNNNNNNNNNNNNNNNNNNNNNNNNNNNNUAAUGUAAUAUGUUAUAUAUAUAUGAACUGAUUUUCAUAUCUGAGUAUAAUAUUCUGAGUAAGUCCACGCCGUCAAUGAAUUUACAUUCAUUAGAUGUCUUACUCUCUCUAUUUCUCUUCUUUUCUAUUGUUUUCUUCUCGGACGUGUGCUCGUCAGAUAAGACAACUUUGCUCGGAUUUGGAGCUACUUCUCCGUGAUGUUCCAGGUGGGGGCAUGAGUAAUUGAGGAGAGGCAAUACCCUAGCUUUGGAGUUAGCCACUAGGAGUUGUUUAUCAUUUAAUGUCUUUUUGUGAUGAUUAAUAUUUCCGCCUUUCUUGUUGGAUAUGUAUAUUAAAUACUUAUGAUCUUUUAUAUCUAUGAAGAUAUAAAUUCAGGAAAUGUUGUAUCAUUUCAGUUACCGUNNNNNNNNNNNNNNNNNNNNNNNNNNNNNNNNNNNNNNNNNNNNNNNNNNNNNNNNNNNNNNNNNNNNNNNNNNNNNNNNNNNNNNNNNNNNNNNNNNNNUGUUGUAUCAUUUCAGUUACCGUUAGGUAACCGGUUUUGAUUUCCCGGAAAAGAAAGGUUUUUAAAAGGAAACAAUUCUAUUCCACCAAUUAAAAAAAAAAUUUACUCACUUUUCCGUAUAAUAAAUAAAGAGUAUUUUUCGGGGCGUUACAAGAUGGUAUCAGAGCGGCUCUUUCCUAAUCGGACUUGGGCAUGGCCUUACAUGCUUUCUUGUGUGACUUUGUUUGUUAGUUGCUUGUCUGAUUGAUUGAUUGUCUGAUUGUUUGAUCGGAGUAUGACAAUGGGAUAAGUUUGGUGAGGAAGAGUAUCUCACCUAGUCUAAUGUUCAUNNNNNNNNNNNNNNNNNNNNNNNNNNNNNNNNNNNNNNNNNNNNNNNNNNNNNNNNNNNNNNNNNNNNNNNNNNNNNNNNNNNNNNNNNNNNNNNNNNNNUGGAAGAGGAACCGCUAACCUAGAUUUCAUGGCGGCGAUGACCGCAGCUAUUCAGGGUGUAAACGCUAACUUACAUCAGCUGAACCAACAACAACAAACCCAGUCGAUUCAAAGAUCGACUCAGUAUAGGGGUCUGGAUGAGUUCUGUCGUAGACACCCCAGAAGUUUGAGGGAGGAUUUGCACCUGAGGUUGCAAAUGAAUGGAUCCAAGAGCUGGAGAAAAUCUUCUGGGCACUCAUGUGCACCGAUGAGGAGAAGGUCACUUACGCGACCUACAUGUUAUCCAAGGAAGCUGAAAACUGGUGGGAGUUCACCGAGCAACAAAUGGUGCAUGAGCACCAGGUGGUCAGCUGGACCAUAUUCAUGGAUAAGUUAUUGCAGAAGUAUUUUCCUGCGGAUAUGAAGACCAAGAAGGAAAUGGAAUUUCUGCGUGUGCAACAAGGGAGUCUGACUGUGGGAGAGUAUGCUGCCAAAUUCGAGGAACUGGCGAGGUAUGCCCCAAAUUACAAUGAGGUUGGGAAUUAGAGGUCUAAAUGUGCUAAGUUCGAGGAUGGGCUUAAGCAAGACCUGAAGGUGAUGUUCAUUCACCAACAAAUACCAGACUUUGCAACUCUGGUAAAUAGAUGCAGGCUCUAUGAAGAGAGUGUCGAGGCGAGGAAUGCAACACUGGAUAGUGUCGUACAACCUACAAGUUCCUGCGGUCCUCAGAGGAACUCUGGACAAGGGUUUGGAAGGGGAAGAUCCUUCAACCGCAACCAGAAACCUUACGCUUCAUCCUCUGGAAGUCAACCGAGUAAUAUCAAGCCUUACAACAAUAGGGACUUCCAACAAGGGAACAACAAUAACAGCACUAGCAACAACAACAGUUGAGUGAGUCCUUCGAGUGGGAACGAUAACAACCCCACACACCCCUGGUGUUCAAAGUUCAACAAAAGGCACUAUGGUUUCAAGUGCGCAGUGUGCUUUCACUGUAACCAACCGGGUCAUAUCAGGCCGAUGUGCCCACAUCGGAUAAAGGAAGAAGUGAACACGGUACAAGCGUCAAGACCAAGGGCCAAUGGCAAGGUAUUCCCUAUGAGCGGAGCUGAGAUUGAGGCGAGUGAGGACCUCAUAUAAUGUACAGGUCGUACGAAUGAGAUUUCUUUAUCUGUGCUGUUCGAUUUGGGUGGGACCCAUUCGUUCUAUCCGUGGAUGUUGUCAACCAUUUAGCUUUGUCUAUAGGAAUGGACUGUUUAUCUAGGAACCAUAUGAUAUUGAGUUGCUUUAAUAAGACAGUAGUGUUUAGUGACCCUAAAGAAUCCCUUGAAACUGAUUAGAUCUAGUUAAAGGAUAAGCUAGAUUUUGGAAGAUGAUUUGAGAAGAAAGAGGCAUCCAGAGCGACUUUCUCUUCAUCUUUAAUUAAAUCUCAAAGUCAUUUUAUUCCUUUUGAAAAGAAAUUAUUUUUUUGUUAUGUUUUAUCUACAGAAAAAUAACAAAUGUUCAAAUCUUUAUUAGUAGCAACUCUAAUUGUUUAGAUAAAAAUAAUCUUUAUAAAUAGUCAAAAAGAUUUGGUUUGUAACACCGCGAAUUUUACGAUUUUGAAUUAUAAGAUUUUAUUAAUAUUUUUUUAUUAAUUAUAUAUUCGAAAAUGAAUUUCUGGGAAUUUUCGGUAAAGAAUUAGACGAAACUCUAUUUCAGUUUUAGUCUUGUAAUUGUAUUUCCUAUUUUAUGGUAAGUUUUGGUAAUUUUCGGAGACAGACGGUUCUGAACCACUGUCGGGGACGAAAUCCACUUGGUACAGCUCAAAACGUGGUUUUUGAGUUGCGUAACUCGGAAUCGAAUUCCAAUCGCACCGUUUGCUUCAUAAUUUUAUUUGGAGUCAAUAUAGACCCACAAUACACCCAUACCUAUUUUUUAAGUAUUUUUCACUAGGAAUGCCGAAAUCCGAAAUUCUAAUCGAAUAUUAGGAUCGGGCGAUUUAUAAUACCCGAUCGAGUAUUGGCCGAUAAUACUCGGGCAUGUUUAUCGCACGUGUCCACAUGGUGAUCAUUUCGCAUUGGGAUGUGAAUUUGACUUCCAUAAAGCAAAUCUCACAUCACAUUCUCAAAUAUCCCAUGAGCUCAUCAUUAGUCACCCUAGGGAUUUUUUGAUGAUUGCCUAGAGGGAAAUCUGAUUUCCCUCUCCCCUUAAACCCUCACACUCCACACUUCACUCUCUCACUCUUGCAUUUUCUAAGAGAAGGUAAAAACCUCUCUUCAUUUUUCUCUCAUUUCUCCUUUCUUCUUCCAUCUUCAAACGUUGAUCCCUCAACAUUCAACCAAUGGAUGUUGAUGAGAUUUAAGUAUGAUGUUCAUGAGCAUGUCAAGAACAUAUUCAAUGGUUGAAAUUUUCUAAAAUGCUUUCUAACUUAUUUUCUUCUCAAAACCGAAAAUAGUGAUGUUCUUGAACUUAUGAAAAUAUUUUGUUGAAACCAUGAACCCACUUGUGUUCAUGGAGUUGUUAUAGUGUUUUAUUACAUGUAUUUUGUUGUUUUAGCCAAAGGGGAUGAUGAUGANNNNNNNNNNNNNNNNNNNNNNNNNNNNNNNNNNNNNNNNNNNNNNNNNNNNNNNNNNNNNNNNNNNNNNNNNNNNNNNNNNNNNNNNNNNNNNNNNNNNUGUUUAAAAUGGAUGGAAAUCGUGAACGGACUUUCGAUGAAAAAGGAUGGUCAAGAACAUGUGAUGUUGGACCGGAUGGAUGAAAUGGAUGUAUGAUGACGAUGGGAAAAAGAGAAAUGAUUUUAAGUAUUUUAGUAACGACUUUAGAAAUAUCGGAAACUAACGGAUUUCUAUUUUGGUAGUUACGAAGAUAUCGGUGUUCGAACCUUGAAACAAAACCACUCUUAGCCGACAAGUAAAGCACGCUUCAUUAAGGUGAGAGAGAAAACAUCGUGACAUAGUGGUGUCCGAAUAUGACACCCGGAUCUUCAAAACCAUCUCAAAGGUUUUGGGGUUAACUUGGGUUUUAAGAAACCCAAGAUUUUUAUGUUUGAAUGCUUUUGAAUAUAUAUGAUUGUUGAUGAAAUGUGUUGAAUAUUGUAUAUGAAUGUUGUUGGGAACUUUUCUGUGUGCAGGUGUUUGAAAAACCAUGUUUAAAUGUGUUUCGGUUGUCGAAAAGGGCAAAAUUGGUAUUCUGUCCAAGUCCCUUUCGCUUGGGCGAGGACUAGGCAAGGGACUGGGCGAGGGGAAGUUUUGGUUCUGGAACUCCCUCGCCUGGGCAAAGAAGCCUCGCUUGGGCGAGCAAGGGUCCCACUUAGGUGAGAAAGCCCAGGAUUUCGAUGAAAUUCUGGAAAUCUCUCGCUUGGGCGAGCAAAGGCCUCGCCCGGGCGAGCAAAAGCUUCGCUUGGGCGGAAAAAAAAACAAAACCCAGGAUUUUAAUGAUGUCUCACUUGAGCGAGAAGGGGCCUCGCUUGGGCGAGGAAGGCUUAAGUUUAAUUGAGAUUUAAAGAUGAAUUGUCGCUUGGGCGAGAGGGCCUCGCUUGAGCGAGAUAUACCCAGUUUUAAAAUGGUAUUGUUGAUCGAAUUUUCACUUGAGCGAAGGGUCCUCGCUUGGGCAAGAGAUAGGAAUUGUGUUUGACUAUUUGGAUUNNNNNNNNNNNNNNNNNNNNNNNNNNNNNNNNNNNNNNNNNNNNNNNNNNNNNNNNNNNNNNNNNNNNNNNNNNNNNNNNNNNNNNNNNNNNNNNNNNNNAGUAUUCAAGGUGUUGGAAUUAAAUAGUCAAAUUCGAAAAUUAAUUUUAAAGAAAGUAAUCCAAGAAGGAUGUAUGAUUUAGGGCGAUGCCCAGAAAAUGAUACAUGAUACCACGGAGCGAGAUCAUCUGACCGUAAGUGGCUUGGUCUGGGACCGUCCAGGGUGAUUCAGCGAUGGUCGUAGUGGUAGGGACGUUACCCUUUGAGUUAUGAUGUGAAUUAGGGCACUGCCCAGAAAGGAACCCAGGAUACCACGUAGCAAGAUCGGCUAACCGUAAGAGGCUUGGCCUGGGACCGUCCAGGGUAUUCAGCGAUGCUCGUAGUGGUGGGAUGUAUUUCCUUUAUAUUACGUGUUAACGUAAGAUCAGGACCCAUAAGAAGUAUUCAUGAGGGAGAUGACUUUAGGUGGGCCGAGCAUGGUAAAUAGUGGUUAACAGAUUUAAUCAUCUAACUGUAGUUAGUGUUCAUAUGCAUAUGGUUAAUAAUGGAGUAGUGGAGAGGAAAUUCACGGUAUGACUUAGAGCACCGUGAAGUAAGUAGGGACGGCACUGAUUGGACGGUGAUUCGCCAACAAUGUCUUGAGGGAGAGUCUGGGUGAGACGAGUCCCUUGUAUUCCUGGGGAGGUACCCUGUUGGAUCGGACAGUUCUCAAGGCCAAACUAGGCAAUCUCUGACAACCCCUGGAUUGCAUUCGAGAUCAAUGAGAGGGAUGCCCAGAAAGCGUUUGUACAACCUAGGUCCGGGUAGGACUGUUCCUGAGGGAACCGAUCGAUCUAUUUUAAUUCCUUGCGAGGAUAUGUUAUUUCGGGUGCGUACAAAGUGGCUUGGUAUGGGACCUGUACUCUUAAUUUGUUUUCGACUAGGUUAUUGGAAGGAUAUUGGUGUAAGGUGGAUGAUCAUGACAAAGCAUGCAUAUAUUGCACUUGUGGAAGUGGAUUCCCACAUUUGAGUUACAAACAUCAUGCAUCAUUAACAUUUUAUACAUAUUAUUACUUAUGGUUAUGAUAAUUGUUUAUGAAAUGUAUGUUGAUACAUUAGGGUUUAUGUUGAUAUACGGUGGGUUAUGAUGUCGGUUAUAGAUAAUAUAUGUGUGUUAUUAUUUGGGGUUAUGAUCAUCACUUAUGUCUUAUUUAAUUAUAGUCAUGAUAUCUUGUUGAUAAAUGAUAUAUUGAUAAAUAGGAAUUAUGAUAUUAUUUAGGAAUAAGUGUUAUUUACGUUACAUAGGUUAAUUAGUUAAUUGUUUACGAGGACAACUGAUGAGUUAUAAUGUAAUAUGUUAUAUAUAUAGGAACUGAUUUUCAUAUAUGAGUGUAAUAUUCUGAGUAAGUCCACGCCGUCAAUGAAUUUACAUGCAUUAGAUGUCUUACUCUCUCUAUUUCUCUUCUUUUCUAUUGUUUGCUUUUCGGACGUGUGCUCGUCAGAUAAGACAGCUUUGCUAGGAUUUGGAGCUACUUGUCCGUGAUGUUCCAGGAGGGGGCAUGAGGAAUUGAGGAGAGGCAGUACCCUAGCUUUGGAGUUAGCAACUAGGAGUUGUUUAUCAUUUAAUGUCUUUUGGCGUUGAUUAAUAUUUCUGCCUUUCUUGUUGGAUAUGUAUAUUAAAUACUUAUGAUCUUUUAUAUCUAUGAAGAUAUAAAUUCAGGAAAUGUUGUAUCAUUUCAGUUACCGUUAGGUAACCAGUUUUGAUUUCCGUGUUAUGUGUUACUUAAAGUGAUGUCCCGGAAAAGAAAGGUUUUUAAAAGGAAACAAUUCUAUACCACCAAUUCAAAAAAAAUAUUUACUCACUUUUCCGCGUAAUAAAUAAAGUGUAUUUUUCGGGGCGUUACGUGAGUUCUAAGUGAAGCCUCGUAUUUAUAGCAUGGAGUAUAAGUGGUUUAAGCCAUUGUAAAAACAGUUAAACAGUUAAGCAGUUACAACAGCAAAAGCAGAUUUCAGUUAUAACAUAAAACAUACUCGUUAAUCGAUUAAGACUACCAUUUAAUCGAUUAACGGACUUAUAGAAUGACAUCCAAAACAGUUAAAACAGAAAACACACAUUCAGCAGAAAAUCAUUUAUGUUAAUUGAUUAGGCUACCACGUUAAUCGAUUAACUUGAGCAUUUAUGCAUAUGUUUCACAAGGCAAACUUCUCAUAUGUUAUAUGCAAUAUGUAUACAUGUUUCACCAUUUAUAUUAUGCCUAAUAUGCACAAAUAACAUGUAUGAUAUAUGUAUGAACAUACGAUUAACUAGAUGAUGCAUCUCAUGAAUGAGUUCAAUUAGGAUGUCUUAAGAGACUAGCAUCUAGGUUCACCUAACCUAUACUCACUUACUACGGUACACAUCCCAGACUACUUAGGUUAUAGACUCAAUUUAUCUCCUAGUCUAGAUAUGACCAAAUGAGCAUAAGACAUGUUGAUUGUUGAACCAUCUUCAAGCUUUGUUGGAACUUUGUUUUCCUCAAAACACAGGCUAAGAUAGGCUAGUGCUAUUCUUGACACUUUGCACUUUCAGACGUGAGCAAUUUGGUUAUGAUCAAAGAAUUUGUGAAGGAUUUUGUUAGGUAGAAUGGACAUGUGGCAGUAGAUCCUAGUGUAGAGCCUACACAGAAAAGCAUGCUUAACAAAAAAAAGAGUAUUAAAUUGAAGGAUUAUGUAGUGAAUGUGUAUUGAGUAAUGUGGGAUUCCUUCUCUGCUAAGAUCUCUUUCUUUUCUUCUAUUACCUUCUUCUUUUCCGUACUAUUGUCUUUUUCUUACUUGAAAUGCACAUUGUUGCACAACUGAAUUUUAUGUACUUCUCCUUCAUCAAAUCAUAUAAUAUUUCCUUCAAGUUGUUAGUCAUUACAUUGGUGCUUUUAUUGAGCUUCCAUGGCUGAGAAUACGUGACUACAGGAUUUACAAGCUAUGGUUACUAGACACGUUAAUGAGCUUCAUCAUCUGACCUAGACCAUGAACAAUCGAUUUAAUGAGCAUGAUGAGCGUAUAGCUCAAAUAUAACUGGCUUUACAUUAGAUUCUUCAGAACACGUCUCAUAAUGGUGAAAGUCCCUUGAACUCAGUAUCUACAAAUGACUCCCUUGGCAAUCCGUCUUUACCAAUCAAAGAUAUUUCUCUUGGAUUCCCUCAUUUUGAUGGAACAACACGUGUUUUGCAAUGGAUUUUUAAGGUAGAGAAUUUUUUUAAUUACCACAAUACUCCUGACCCUUCUUGGGUUGAAAUUGUUGCAAUGCAUUUUGAUAAGGAUGUGGUACCUUGAUUUUAGAUGUUACCAUGGAUUUCUACAGUGACCUCUUGGAUUGAUCUUACCAACGCCCUUGAAUCUCAUUUGGCCCUUCUCCUUAUUUUUGUCCUAUGGUUGAGUUGUCUAAAUUGACACAAACAGGUUCUCUUUCUGAAUAUUAUCUUAAAUUCAUGGGCUUAGCUAAUAGAUCUGUUGGCUUAAAUGAUGAGGCUCUGUUAAAUUGUUUUAUAGGAGGUUUGCAAAAGGAAAUCCACAGGGAUGUGGUUGCAAUGGUCGCUCCUACCUUAUUACAUGCAGUUGCUCUUGCUAGGCUAUUUGAAGAACGACACACCCUUGUGUCUAAGGCCAGUUCUUCUUAUUACACAUAUAAAUACUCCCCAAUCACAACUCAUGCUUCUCACACCUAUAAUUCCACUCAUUCUUUGCCCAAAUCCAUUACUACCAAUUCCACUCCAUGAUUAUUACCCACUCCUAAGGGCCUCCUCUUCGCAAUUCUAAUGUUAAAAAAAUUAGCCAUGCAAAAAUGCAAUAUCGUAGAGACAAGGAUCUAUGUAAUUUUUGUGAUGAAAAGUUCACUGUUAAUCAUAAGUGUCCUAAUAGGAAAUUAUUAUUUUUUGCAAUUGGUUGAGCACACUACUGAUUUUGUAGUAGGGGAUUGUGAGGAGCAUUCUAUGGUUGAUUCUGAGGAACCUAUUAGUGCUAAGGAUCACCAUUUCUCUUUGAAUACCCUGAAAGGUGGUUUGGGUGUAGGCCCUAUAAGAUUUUUGGGUCACAUUGAUCAAUUGCCUAUUAUUGUUCUGAUUGAUGGAGGGAGCUCUGAUAAUUUUCUCCAGCCAAGAGUGGCUUGAAAGUGUGCAUGUCAAGAGGAACACUUUGGAUAAGCUCUCUUUAUAUGUCAUGGUUUGGAUGAGGACAACUUGUGCUUAUAAGAGCUUGAAGAUCACCAACAAAUCAACAUGNNNNNNNNNNNNNNNNNNNNNNNNNNNNNNNNNNNNNNNNNNNNNNNNNNNNNNNNNNNNNNNNNNNNNNNNNNNNNNNNNNNNNNNNNNNNNNNNNNNNUAUUUGUGCUAUACUGAUUGAUACUCUGAUAAAAUGUUGAAGCUCUGUUCUUCGUUUCAUUAUCGGUUAACUGUUGUGCAAUUAAUCGAAUAUGUCUUUGCUUACUGUUUCUGUUUUAAUCGAUUAAGACUGUUACGUUAAUCGAUUAUCCCUGUUCUGUUAAUCGAUUAAGUUUGUUCUGUUAAUUGAUUAUCUUCAUCCUGUUAUCGAUUAAUUGGGGGUGAUUCAACAUUAAGUGUUGAGUUUCGAAAAGCGGCUAUUCUAACCGCUANNNNNNNNNNNNNNNNNNNNNNNNNNNNNNNNNNNNNNNNNNNNNNNNNNNNNNNNNNNNNNNNNNNNNNNNNNNNNNNNNNNNNNNNNNNNNNNNNNNNCUUCUAGGUGUAUUGUAACCACUGAUACCUAACAUGGCUAACUUUCUAAAACUACCUAUAGAACCAACUCCUAUGUUCAAAGUUAUGGUAGGAAAUGGAAAGUAUAUGUAUGCGGAAGGCAAGGUUCAACAAGACUUAGUUCAUGCUCAAGGAAAUUCGUUUCAAUUACUAGUAUUUUUGCUUCCAAUUUAUGGUGUUGAUUUAAUAUUGGGUGCAAGCUGGUUGAAAACUAUUGGAGCACAUAUUGCAGAUUAUGAUUCCUUGCAACUCAAUUUUUUAUGGCAAGGAAAAUUUACUUCUCUGAGAGGUGAUAAAGAUAUACUUCAUGUUCCUGCUACACUCCAUCAUCUAAUAAGAAUGAUACAAACUGAUGCUAUAACAGAAAUUUUCAACAUGCAAAUAAUUGAGGAAAAUCCUUUUCCUAUUAUUGUUUUGGAUCUAUCUAGGGAUAUCUGAAAGUGUGCAUGUCAAGAGGAACACUUUGGAAAGCUCUCCUUGAAUGUCAUAGUUUUGAUGAGGACAACUUGUGCCUAAAAGAGCUUGAAGAUCACCAACAAAUCAACGUGCUUAAGUCUUUAUUUGGUACUAGGCUUAGACUAGAUUCUAGUUUAAGUUGAGUCGAAGGCUUAGGGCACCUAAUACAUGUCUCAUAUGCAUAUAUCUUUUAAAUCAUUCCAUCCAUGAGAUAUGUCAUUCAUAAUAUGUUCAUGCAUUACAUAAAUACAUGUAUAUGUGCAUUCUAGGCAUAAAACUAAGUGUUAAACAUGUAUCAUCUAAGUGCAUAACGUAUUUGAUGUUUUGUAUUUAAAAAUACACAUUUUAAUUACUGUUAAUCGAUUAACCAAUCCUUUAAUCGAUUAACCCAACUGCUGUGAAAAGUGGUUGCUACUGGAACACGUUUUUAAAUGCUGUUAAUCGAUUAAGGCAUUACGUUAAUCGAUUAACCUAACUGUUUGUUAAGUUGUUGGAACUGAAAAACUGAAAAACAGAAUCAGUUAUAAUUUUUAGUCCCGUUAAUCGAUUAAGAUGGCAUUUAAUCGAUUAUCUGGGGUUCUGGACUGAUUCUUUAUAAACUGCGUUUUCAGAAUUAAUCUCAUAAGUUGCAUGUUGCAUUUAUUAGAGAGUUAGAGCAUUUUACGUGUUAAUUGUUGCAUCUAUUUGUUAAGUGCAUUAGUGAGUUUAGAAAUGAGAGAUUCCUUGCUUUAGGAUUGAGUGCAUUUCAUGUUAUAAUCUCUCAUGUUUUCCCUCACAUGUUCAUGCAUAUUUUGAUGCUUUUUCAUGAAGUUUUAUGAUUCUGUAACUUCUGUUUUCAUAACUAAUACUUGUCAUUUCACAUGAGUUUGUGUUAGAUGUGCAUUAGAGUAAAGCCUUCUUGUUAUAUUUGAGCUUAGAAAUAGCUUUAUUUUACUCUUGUAAUUGUUGUAUAAUUGUUGUAAAGGGAAUCUCGUGGUGUCUUAUCACCGUUAGAGAUUGAGUGUUUCUUCAUAGCUUAGAGUGUAAGAAAAGGAAAGAACGAGAGAUUCUUUGGCUGGGGCUACGCCGAAAGAAACGUUUUCUUUGUCGGUAGGAAGGGAGUCAAACCAUUGAAUAGUUUCUUUGAUUUCUUGUCAUUUGCUAAGUGUUGUAAUUGGAUAAUGUGUUUGUAAAUUACAUUGAUUCGAUUAUAGUGAAGGAAAUCUCCCAAGUCAGCCGGGAGGCCUGGAUGUAGUUUGCAGUGGACAGCAAACGAACCAGGAUAAAAAUUCGCGUUGCAGGAUUUGUUUUCUCUCUCUCUCUUUGCUGAAUUUCAAUCGAUUAAUUUGUAUAUUGGAUUCAAUUGAUACAUUCUGUUCAUUUGCUGUACUGGAUGCUAUUCUGAUAUACAAUCUAUAAGCUCUGUAUUCGUUCCGUUAUCGGUUAACUGUUGUGCAAUUAAUCAUUUUCUGUUAUAGCUUACUGUUUGUGUUUAAUCGAUUAAAAUUGUUGUAUUAAUCGAUUAUCCUGUUUCUGUUAAUCGAUUAAAAUUGUUUCUGUUAAUUGAUUAAAAACUGUUUUUGUUAAUCGAUUAAGAUUGUUCAAAUGAUCGAUUAUUUUCCUUCAUUAAUCGAUUAAAUAGGGUUGAUUCAACAUUAAGUGUUGAAUUUUGAAAANNNNNNNNNNNNNNNNNNNNNNNNNNNNNNNNNNNNNNNNNNNNNNNNNNNNNNNNNNNNNNNNNNNNNNNNNNNNNNNNNNNNNNNNNNNNNNNNNNNNAAGAAAUGGUAUGGUUAACUUAAUAAAAUGAGAUCAACCUUUAUGGUAUUGUUAAAAGGAACCCGAAACGGGAGUAAAUAAAUAAAGUUACCCAAUAAAUAAAGGUAUUCAUCACUCAUCAUUCUAAAAACAAACUUGUAACAACCAGCAAAACCCUUCAACAAAGUGACACAUUUUUGUUGUUGAGAGGGGAUUUCCUGGUGGUGGAAACCCCUUCUCAACAAAUUGGUGUCGCUGACGGGGAAUUAUUUUAUAGAAAAUUUUUAUAUAGUAUAUUAUAUCAUUAAUNNNNNNNNNNNNNNNNNNNNNNNNNNNNNNNNNNNNNNNNNNNNNNNNNNNNNNNNNNNNNNNNNNNNNNNNNNNNNNNNNNNNNNNNNNNNNNNNNNNNAACCUGUCUGUGAGACUUGCGAGACUUUGCAAGAGGACAAUUUUAAAGUAGAUGAAAAACUCACACGUCUCACAAACAGUAAACAGCAAUUAGAUAACUUGCUUAAUCAAACUAGAAAUGUUGGUGAUCGAACUGGUCUAGGUUAUACUCGCACUGCUAAAAAGAAGCGACCAUAUAGAAAACCGGUAGCUCAAGCUAAAAACAAAUAUCAUAAGCAUUCUCCUACUUGUUUUUAUUGUAACACAUAUGGUCAUACUUAUCAUUCAUGCUAUAUCAAAAAGUAUGGUAUACCUAGCGGAGUUUAUGUAUGGAAAAAGAAGGGAGAUGAUUCCCUAAUCACUAACAGAAAAGGACCCAACAUAAAUUGGGUACCUGAGAAAAGUAAGUAAUCUAUUUUGCAGGUAUGUCUCCGAACACAUGGACAAAAAUGGUACUUAGAUAGUGGGUGUUCGAGGCAUAUGACAGGUGAUAGAUCAAAUUUCCUGGAUCUCUCACUUAAAGGAAAAGGAUACGUCACUUAUGGAGACAACAACAAGGGAAAGAUACUCGGCACAGGAACAGUUGGUAACUCAUCCCAAACUCUGAUUGAUAAUGUCCUUUAUGUUGAAGGACUAGAACAUAACUUGUUGAGUAUAAGCCAACUCUGCGAUAAAGGUAAUCGUGUAUCCUUCGAUUCUGAUUGUUGUGUCAUUCGUGAUAUUUUAUCUAAUAACGUUAAAUUUGUUGGUCACCGUAUAAAUAAUAUUUACAUGGUUAAUUUGGACGAUGUCACUACAUUAUUUUCAAAAUGCUUUAUUUCUAAAGAAGAUGACAUCUGGCUAUGGCAUAGACGUGUUGCACAUAUCCAUAUAAAGCAUCUAGAUAAAUUAUCAUCAAACGAACUAGUUGAGGGGCUACCAAAAUUGAAUUUUAAAACUAAAGAAAUUUGUGACACUUGUCAAAAGUGUAAACAAACCAAAAACUCUUUUAAAAAUAAAAAUGUGAUAUCCACUUCAAGACCUUUGGAGCUACUCCAUAUGGACUUGUUUGGACCAUCACAAAUCAUGAGUUUUGGUGGUAGUUACUACGCUCUAGUUAUUGUUGAUGAUUUCUCUAGAUUUACAUGGACAUUGUUUUUAUCAUCAAAAAGCGACGCGUUCAAAAAUUUUAAAAAUCUUGCCAAGCAAAUCCAAAACCAACUUAACCUAAAAAUAAUAUAUAUACGAAGUGAUCACGGGGGAGAAUUUGAGAACUUUCAGUUCGACAAAUUCUGUGAUAAGCAUGGCAUUUUGCAUCAGUUCUCUGCUCCUCGCACUCCACAACAAAAUGGAGUUGUAGAGAGGAAAAAUCGUGUUUUAGAAGAAUUAGCGAGAACCAUGCUUAACGAAAGUAAUACCCCCAAGUACUUCUGGGCUGAUGCAGUUCAUACUGCAUGCUAUGUUAUAAAUCGAGUACUCUUAAGGCCAAACUUGAACAAAACUCCUUAUGAACUUUUAAAAGGCCGCAAACCAAAUAUAUCCCAUCUUCACGCUUUCGGUUGCAAAUGUUUUAUAUUAAAUAAUGGAAAGCGGGCCUUAGGGAAAUUCGACUCUAAAGCCGAUGAGGGAAUAUUUUUGGGAUACUCGAUUCAUAGCAAAGCUUUCAGAGUCUUUAACAAAUAUUUAAUGCAAGUUGAAGAGUCUAUCCAUGUACAGUUUGACGAAUCUUCUCCAAAAGAGAAGAGAAAGGUCGUUUCUGAUGAUGUUGCAGGUGCUUUGGAAGAAGCAUACUCCAAGGACAUGGAUAAUGAAAAAGGAGCCAAUGAUGAAGGUCAAAUCGAACCUCAAGAGCACUCAGACAUGCCUACCGUGUGGAAAACAAAGAAAGCUCACCCAAUUGAUAAAGUUAUAGGUGACAUAUCUACGGGAGUGGUAACCCGUAGUUCCUUACGAAAUUUCUGUAAUUUUGUAGCUUUUGUAUCGCAAAUUGAGCCUAAGACCGUUGAUGAGGCCAUUGAGGAUGUACACUGGGGUAUAGCUAUGCAAGAAGAGCUAAACCAGUUUGAGCGUAAUAAUGUGUGGGACUUGGUCCCCAAACCUAAUGAUCAUCCCGUAAUUGGUACUCGAUGGGUCUUCAGAAAUAAACUUGAUGAAUCUGGCUUAAUAAUUCGAAAUAAAGCACGUUUGGUGGCCAAAGGCUACAACCAGGAGGAGGGUAUCGAUUAUGACGAAACCUACGCUCCUGUAGCCAGAUUAGAGGCCAUCAGGAUGCUUCUUUCCUUUGCAUCUUUAAUGAAUUUCAAACUUUUUCAAAUGGAUGUAAAAAGCGCCUUCCUGAAUGGAUACAUUCAAGAAGAAGUUUAUGUUGACCAACCGCCUGGUUUUGAAAAUUUUAAAUAUCCGAACCAUGUUUACAAACUUAAAAAGGCACUAUAUGGUCUCAAACAAGCUCCUAGAGCUUGGUAUGACAGACUUAGUACCUUUCUUUUAGAAAAAGGGUUCGAGAGAGGCUUGGUUGACACAACGCUUUUUAUUAGAAAAUCAGAAAAUCAUGUUCUGCUUGUACAAAUCUAUGUAGAUGACAUAAUAUUUGGAUCUACUAAUGAUAUCUUGUGUAGAGAAUUUUCUGAGAUGAUGCAGGGGGAGUUCGAAAUGUCUAUGAUGGGAGAACUCACAUUCUUUCUAGGAUUGCAGAUAAAGCAGCUAGAAAGUGGGAUAUUCAUCCAUCAGGCGAAAUACUGCAAAGAGCUACUCAAGAAAUUUGAAAUGGACAAAUGUAAGGAAGCUUCCACACCUAUGGCAUCUGCUUGCUACUUAGACAAAGAUGAGAAAGGAAAAGCAAUCGAGGUAACGAAGUAUCGUGGUAUGAUUGGGUCUUUACUUUACUUAACUGCAAGUAGACCUGAUAUCAUGUUCAGUGUAUGCAUGUGUGCGAGAUAUCAAUCAUCACCUAGAGAAUCACACUAUAUAACUGUUAAAAGAAUCAUGAGAUAUCUAAAAGGAACUAUUAACAUGGGAUUAUGGUAUCCUCGGGAUGCCUCACUAUCCUUGGUGGGUUAUUCCGAUUCCGAUUUCGCCGGAUGUAAGUUGGAUCGGAAAAGCACUAGUGGUACUUGCCACCUAUUGGGCAGUUCAUUAGUAGCAUGGCACAGCAAGAAGCAAGCCUGUGUUGCUUUGUCCACCGCUGAAGCGGAAUACAUUGCCGCUGGUGUGUGUUGCGCUCAAAUCCUUUGGAUGAAGCAGCAACUUAAGGACUUUGGUCUUAAACUUGAAAAGAUCCCAAUAAAAUGCGAUAAUACAAGUGCCAUUAACCUAUCCAAGAAUCCCGUUUUGCAUUCUAGAACAAAGCAUAUAGAAAUUAGACAUCAUUUUUUGCGUGACCAUGUACAAAAAGGUGAUUGUGUUCUUGAAUUUGUGGAAACAUCUAAACAGUUAGCAGAUAUUUUCACCAAGCCCCUUCCCAGGGAUACCUUCUAUGUUCUAAGGAGAGAACUAGGAAUUCUUGAUGAACAAUAUCUUGUUUAAAUAUUGUUUAGUUGUUUGCAUAAAUUGUCUUGCUUCUCUAUGCCUAUGUGUUUCAUGUUUGAAUGAUAUAUGUUAAAAAUGCAAAAAUAUAUCUCUUGAUUAACCUCUUAAUGUGAUUAUAAAUGUCUCGAUAAAUCUGUUGUAAUGCAUGCAUGUGUCCUAAAAAGUCGAAACCACUCUGUUGCCUAAAAACAAAAUUUUCACUGAUUUAAUCGAUUAUGCCAUUGGUUAAUCGAUUACCUGGGCUUCAUUUUUGAAAAUUCAAAUUUUUUUUAUUUAAUCGAUUAAACAGCCCGUUAAUCGAUUACCUGGGCAACUUUUUUUUUAAAAUUCAAAUUUUACACUGUUUUAAUCGAUUAAAACAUCCCGUUAAUCGAUUAAAACCAGUACGUUAAAGGCAAACAGUGUCUCGGUUCUGCACUUUUUUUUACAUUUUCGCAACCUCUUUGUGCCUUGAUUUUCUGAAACAGCAACAAUACUAAUCCAGGUGCAAUAGGAUUAAGUAAACCUCACCCUAAACCUCUCAAUCCUUCCAAAAUCGCUCUAUUUUCAUCCAAAAUCCACUCAAUUCCGAAUCAUCCAAUCCAAACCCUAGGUUAGGCUUUGCCCCUCUGUUCAUCAAUCUCAGUUUCGAGUUCAUCAUCUUCAAUGGAGCAGAGUCGUCCAAAGCGGGUCAAGACUACAGCAACGCGCAUUCGAAGAAGGGAAACCGGCUCACCCUCCACUCGGGACCGCGGUGACCCCUAUUAUUCCCUCAUUUUGCAAGAGACCCGGUUGGCAAAAUUUCAAGGCCGCAAGCCUACAUACAUCAGGUAUGCCGACUUAACCUGGUUAGCGGAACAAAACUUUAGUUUUCCGCAUGACAUGGAGGCUCAAGGAGCCGUUCAGUUUUUGGAAUUGAAGGGACGCGUAUACCCUGCUCUAGUUAGGGAAUUUUACGCUAAUUUUAGAUACAAGGAUGGCAAAUAUUGGUCCAUGAUUUCCGGUAAUUUGUUUGAGAUGAGUGAGGAUUUAUUUCUGAAUGUUGGAGGUUUAUCGUCGUCUGGUUUUGGAAUAGGGGAUUGUUCUUGGGUCAAGGACAAUUUUGAUCCCGUUGAUGUGUACAAGUCAUUCCUUCGGGGCCCUCAUCUGUAUAUUCAGGGUCAACUGACCAAGGCAGGGUCACUUUCUGUUGAGAACAGGUUAUUGCAUUAUGUUAUUGCUUACAUAUUAGUGCAGCGGAACACUAAUCAUGCACAGCCUACUGUGAAUGAUUUGCGUUUCAUGUAUGCUGUAAAGAAUAACGUGAUGAUCAAUUGGCCUGAGGAAAUUCUAAAAAUCAUGAACAGCGUUUCAUUGUCUCAGUCCAAGCUGCUCCCGUAUAGCAUUUUCAUAUCCCGCAUUGUUGAUUAUUUGCGCAUUGACAUUUCUGAUACCAUCAUUACUGAGUACACUGAUAAAGAUCACUUGGUGGGUGAGAGUCUCAUUCAUAAGAUGGGAAUUUACAAGUAUGGUACUACAUGGCAGUAUCAGGAGGACUAUACCACCUUUGAUCUGGACUUGUCGGAUAAUGAGCAUCAGGAGGAUUUGGGUAAUCAGAAUGCAACUAAUCAGGGGGAGUCGUCUGGAACAGCACCUCAGAGCUCUGUGUUUGGUUUAGCUCAGAUGGAAGCCAUGGAACAACGACUUAACAACCGCAUGGAUCUGCACUUCCAAGGGCUGAAGGACUCUUAUUUUGCAGGUAUGGAGCAAUACGAGGAACGUCAGAAUGCCUACACCGAUAACAAAAUUCAGGAGCUGAGGACUAUGAUUCAGUCUACCGCUGAGGCUCAGAAUGCCAUGUUCUGCUCAGAAUUUCAGAAGCUGUCUAUGCUUAUCCAGGGAAAUCAGAACACUGCUGUGCCUGAUGAUCAGCCUGUCUAUCCUCCGCCUCAACCUUAGUUUAGCUGACCUUAGACCUAGGUUAUCCUAUCCUUAGGUUUAUUUUUAUCUUGUGGCACCUUCUGGAUUUAGUUAUCGUUGUUGCUUUCAGAACUGAUUCGUAUUUUGCUUUUUGUCUUUUAUAUUGACUUUAUGGCCUGUACUAUUUCAUGACUUUCUUUACUCUUUAUGCUAUGCAAAUGUUUUUGUUUUUGCUAUAAUUAUGUCAAAAUAGCUUAUUUGCCUUAGUGAAUGGAUCUUGAUCAUUUGAGAUUUAAUAAUGCUUACAAUGCUUAAUAUUUGAUUAAAUCUUGUAUGCCAUUCUCACUUCUUAUUAGCUAUUUUUUUGUCCAAUAAAGCGCAUUUGUUCAAUUUACCCAUAAAUGAAACAGGUUAAUUUGUUAAAACCCAAAUUAAUUCAUUAACAUUGUUUUAUGAUUAACUAAUAUCUCUUCCUAGCUUUUUUGACCUGGGUUAUCUUUUUGAUAAUGUCAAAAGGGGGAGAAAGGUUGUUUUGUUGCUUCUCAAUUGUGCAGGUUGAUCGUUAUAACAGCUUCCGAUAAAUGUGCGCAUUCCAUCAACCUUGCCAACACAAUCUUCAAGCUUAUUCAUCAAGCAAUUGUUACUUUAAAAUUGAUGAACUUGAUGUAGAGUUUGUCAUCAUCAAAAAGGGGGAGAUUGAAAGUGUGCAUGUCAAGAGGAACACUUUGGAAAGCUCUCCUUGAACGUCAUGGUUUUGAUGAGGACAACGUGUGCCUAAAAGUGCUUGAAGAUAACCAACAAUCCAACGUGCUUGAGUCUUUUAUUUGGUACUAGGCUUAGACUAGAUUCUAGUUUAAGUUGAGUCGAAGGCUUAGGGCACCUAAUACAUGUCUCACAUGCAUUUAUCUUUUAAAUCAUUUCAUCCAUGAGAUAUGUUCAUUUGAUAAUAUGUUCAUGCAUUACAUAAAUACAUGUAUAUAUGCAUUCUAGGCAUAAAACUAAGUGUCAAACAUGUAUUAUCUAAGUGCAUAACAUAUUUGAUGUUUUCUAUUUGAAAAUACAUAUUUUAUUUAGUGUUAAUCGAUUAACCAUACCUUUAAUCGAUUAACCCAACUGCUGUGUAAAGUGGUUGCCACUGGAACACGUUUUUGUAAUGCAGUUAAUCGAUUAAAGGUUUACGUUAAUCGAUUAACCUAACUGAUUUUUAAGUUGUUGAAACUGAAAAACUGAAAAACAGAAUCAGUUAUGAUUUUUAGUCCCGUUAAUCGAUUAAGAAGGUAUUUAAUCGAUUAUCUGGGGUUCUGGACUGAUUCUUUAUAAACUGCGUUUUCAGAAUUAAUCUCAUAAGUUGCAUGUUGCAUUUAUUAGAGAGUUAGAGCAUUCUACGUGUUAAUUGUUGCAUCUAUUUGUUAAGUGCAUUAGUGAGUUUAGAAAUGAGAGAUUCCUUGCUUUAGGAUUGAGUGCAUUUCAUGUUAUAAUUUCUCAUGUUUUCCCUCACAUGUUCAUGCAUAUUUUGAUGCGUUUUUCAUGAAGUUUAUGAUUCUGUAACUUCUGUUUUCAUAACUAAUACUUGUCAUUUCACAUGAGUUUGUGUUAGAUGUGCAUUAGAGUAAAGCCUUCUUGUUGUAUUUGAGCUUAGGUAUAGCUUAAUUUUACUCUUGUAAUUCUUGAAUAAAUUGUUGUAAAGGGAAUCUCUUGGUGUCGUAUCACCAGUAGAGAUUGUGUGUUUCUUCAUAGCUUAGAGUGUAAGAAAAGGAAAGAACGAGAGAUUCUUUGGCUGGGGCUACGCCGAAAGAAACGUUUUCUUUAUCGGUAGGAAGGGAGUCAAACCAUUGGAUAGUUUCUUUGAUUUCUUGUCAUUUGCUAAGUGUUGUAAUUGGAUAAUGUGUUUGUAAAUUACAUUGAUUCGAUUAUAGUGAAGGAAAUCUCCCAAGUCAGCCGGGAGGCCUGGAUGUAGUUUGCAGUGGACAGCAAACGAACCAGGAUAAAAAUUCGCAUUGCAGGAUUUGUUUUCUCUCUCUCUCUUUACUGUUUUCAAUCGAUUAAUUUGUAUAUUGGAUUCAAUUGAUACAUUCUGUUCAUUUGCUGUACUGGAUGCUAUUCUGAUAUACAAUCUGUAAGCUCUGUAUUCGUUUCGUUAUCGGUUAACUGUUCUGCAAUUAAUCAUUUUCUGUAAUAGCUUACUGUUUGUGUUUAAUCGAUUAAAAUUGUUGUAUUAAUCGAUUAUCCUGUUUCUGUUAAUCGAUUAAAAUUGUUUCUGUUAAUUGAUUAAAAACUGUUUUUGUUAAUCGAUUAAGAUUGUUCAAAUAAUCGAUUAUCUUCCUUCAUUAAUCGAUUAAAUAGGGUUGAUUUAGCAUUAAGUGUUGAAUUUUGAAAAGCGGUAGUUCUAACCGCGACACCUAUUCAACCCCCCCCCCCUUCUAGGUGUAUUGUAACCACUGAUACCUAACAAUAUCAAGCCUGAGUUAGCUUUUUUAUUGCAAAAGUACAACAAGGUGUUUCCUAUUCCUACUUCACUACAUCCUCCUAGAUCACAUGAUCAUUCUAUACCUUUGCUAGAAGGUUCCAAUCCUGUUAAGGUUGAGCUUUACAGGUAUCCCCAUAGUCAAAAAGAAGAAAUUGAACAUUUGGUUGAAGACAUGUUAAAAGAGGGUAUUAUUCAACCAAGCAAGAAUCCUUUUUCUUCUCCACUCAUCUUAAUCAAAAAUAAUGAUGGGUCAUGGAGGGUGUAUACUGAUUAUAGAGCACUUAAUGCCAUUACUGUCAAAUAUUCAUUUCCAAUUUCUAUUGUGGAUGAACUAAUUGAUGAAUUGUUUGGGGCAUGUUUUUUCUCCAAGUUUGAUCUAAGAUCUGGUAACCACCAAAUUUUAGUGGACCCUGUAGAUCACUACAAAACAGCUUUUAGAACUCACCAUGGGCAUUAUGAAUGGUUGGUUAUGCCAUUCGGGUUGACUAAUGGACCAGUAACAUUUCACAGUCUUAUGACUGAAGUUUUCAAAGGCCUUUUGAGGAAAUGUGUCCUUGUUUUCUUUGAUGAUAUCUUAGUUUACAUUUCAUCAUGGACAGAUCAUCUUGUGCAAUUGAAAUCUUUUUAGGAAAUCUUGCAGAGCCAUAAGCUGUUUGCUAGAUUAUCUAAGUGUUCUUUUAGUGUGCAAAGAAUUGAAUACUUGGGCCAUUUACUUUCAGUUGAGGGAGUUGCUAUAGAUAAUAGUAAACUAGAAGCUAUUCAAAAAUGGCCUCAACCCAAUACAUUGCAACAACUUCGAGGUUUCUUGGGUUUAACUGGAUAUUAUAGAAGAUUUGUCAAAAAAUAUGCUAAAAUUAGUGCUCCUUUAUCUGAUUGACUCAAAAAAGAUUGCUUUAAGUGGUCUCAAGUUGCUACAACAUCUUUAUGACAGUUAAAAAAAAGCACUCACUACUGCUCCUAUUUUAGAUGCUCCAAUUUUAAAAUUCCUUUCAUUUUGGAGACAGAUGCUUCAGGUUUAGGAAUUGGGGCUGUUCUUAGUCAAGAAAGUCAUCCAGUUGCUUUCUUUUCAAGGAAAUUAUCUCCUAGAAUGCAACAACAAUCUGCCUAUGCAAGGGAAUUAUUUGCAAUCACUGAAGCCCUGCUCAAAUUCAGGCAUUAUCUUUUGGGCCAUAAGUUUAUAAUCAAAACAAACCAAAAGAGUUUAAAGGAAUUGCUAGAACAAUCAUUACAAACCCUUAGGCAACAGCAGUGUUUGCCUAAGCUCUUGGGCUAUGACUUCACCAUUCAAUAUAAACUAGGAAAAGAAAACAUCCCUGUUAAUGCCUUAUCAAGGAGUUUUUUCCUCGCUUGCUCUCAACCUGUCACUUGGUUAGAGGAGUUAAUUGCAUUACAAGCUAUUGAGUCCACUCUUAAGGAUUUACUUGUGACAGCAUCAUCUGAUACUAACCUCAACAUGGACUAUUCUAUGUGGCAGGAUGUGUUAUUGUAUAAGGGAUCCUUCAUAUCAAGUUUUCAAGACUAGAUUAAUGGAAUAAUUCCAUGGUUUUAAGGCAUGAGGUCAUGCUGGUAUGACCAAAAUAUUGGCAGCAAUAACCUCUCAUUUUUUCUGGUCAAAGAUACAUCAAGAAAUCAGAACUUUUGUAGGAAAUUUUCUAUUUGUCAACAAGCCAAGAUUGUAAAUAUUAUGCCAACUGGAUUACUUCAGCCUUUGCAUAUUCCUCAUAUGAUUUGGGAAGAUAUUGCUAUGGAUUUCAUCACCAAAUUGCCUAGCUACAAUGGUUUGACUACUAUCCUGGUUGUCAUUGACAGAUUGUCCAAGUUUGACCAUUUCAUUCCAUUAAAAACUGAUUUUACAAGUAAGUCAGUGGUUGAAGCUUUCAUCAAUAAUAUUGUAAAGCUAUAUGGUAUUCCCAAAUCUACUGUUUCUGAUAGGAACCGAGUGUUUAUCAGUUCUUUUUGGCCACAUCUUUUCAAAGCUCAAGGCACUAAAUUGGCUAUGAGUUCUUCUUACCAUCCACAAACAAAUGGUCAAACAAAGAAUCUUUGCAAAACCUUGGAAAUGUAUUUAAGAUAUUUUGUUUUUUAUAAUCCUAGAUCUUGGGUCAAGAUGCUUUCUUGUGCUCCAUUUUGGUAUAACAGUUCUUAUCAUCAUAGUCUUAGAAUGUCUCCAUUUCAAGAUGUGUAUGGUAGGCCACCACCAACAGUGGUCAAGUAUGAAUUUCACUCUCAAGAUCCACCUUCGGUUCAAUAUGUGUUACAAGAGAGAGAUUAGUUACUUCAACAACUUAAAAGCAAUUUGUUAAAAGCUCAGAAUUAUAUGAAACAACAAGCUGAUAAGAAACGCAAGGAUUUCAAACUCGAGGUAGGUGAUUUAGCUUUGGUUAAACCCCAACCAUAUAGGCAACAUUCCUUGGCCUUGAGGAAAAUCACAAGCUCAUUUUGCAAUAUUUUGGUCCUUUUGAAGUGAUGAAAAAAAAAGGGGAGGUUGCUUAUAAAUUGCACUUGCCUACAUCUGCAAAAAUCCAUUCGGUUUUUCACAUCUCAUAAUUGAAGAAAUUUCAGGGCAAUGCACUUCAACCUUAUGUUCCAUUGCCUGUAACUACUACUAAGGAAGGUCCUCUUGUAGAACCAAUUCAGAUAUUGCAGCAUCGUGAGAUUUUUAAGAAUUCUAAAGAUAUUCCACAGAUUUUGGUACAGUAGGAUGCCACAUUGGACCAUGAAACUUCUUGGGAAGAUGUACAAGAAUUUCAUAACUCUUAACCUCAAUUCAACCUUGGGGAAAGGUUGCUUUCGAUGAAGGGAGAAUUGCAACAUGUGAAAAGGAAGCAAAGGCUGGCGUGAGCAAUUCCGUUAUGAUCAAAGAAUCUGCAAAGGAUUAUGUUAGGCGGAAUGGACACGUGGCAGCAGAUCCUGGUGUAGAGGCUACAGGGAAAAGCAUGUGCAACAGAAAGAGGAGUAUUAAAUUGAAGGAUUAUGUAGUGAAUGGGUAUUGAGUAAUGUGGGAUUCCUUCUCUACUGAGAUCUCUUUCUUUUCUGCUAUUGCCUUCUUAUUUUUGUUACUAUUGCCUUUUUCUUACUUGAAAUGCACAUUGUUACAUAAAUGAAUUUUAUGUACUUCUCCUACUUCAAACUAUAUUAUAUCUCCUUCAAGUUGUUAGUCGUUACAUGCUUGAUACAAAUUCAGACAUGAAACUUGCCUUUGGUUAUGUGUAAAAAGCAUAGGGCAAAGUUGAACAUUGCUUCCAACACUACAAGAAAUAUUAGCCACACUUAAUCAGCCACACUAAAUAACUUGUAUCAAAAUUAAUGUAUAAUAUAAGCCCAUAAAUUUAUUACUCUAAUUGGGCCUCUGGCAAAAAAGGCAACAAAAAAGCCUUUUUUCUUUCUCCUCCCUCUUUUCUUCAUACCUUUCUCCUUCCUCUUUUCUUCAUACCUUUCUCCUUCUUCCUCCAUGGAAAAUCGGCUACAUCACUCAAAUCUUUUGUGUUAUUCACUUCAAAUGCAGCUUCAAUCGCUAAAAUUCAUCUUCAAUCACUGAAAUUCGCUUCAUUCAUUCAAAUCCCUCCAAAUACAUAUUUUCGUUCAAAUCGCCCUAAAUUCAACUUCAUUUGUUCAAAUCCAGCAUCAAUCACUCAAUCCAACUUCAACCUUCCAUCGCUCAAAUCCCGUUUCAAAUCCAGGUUUACUUUAUUAAGUGCANNNNNNNNNNNNNNNNNNNNNNNNNNNNNNNNNNNNNNNNNNNNNNNNNNNNNNNNNNNNNNNNNNNNNNNNNNNNNNNNNNNNNNNNNNNNNNNNNNNNGGUAAUUGUAUAAGAUUCAAUUUUAUUAUUAUUAGCUAGCAAAUAUUUAAUUUUAUUAUAAAUUUACCAUUAUAUUAUUGAAAAUAAAGAUUGUGAGACAAUGACACAUUUGGAUCAUGAGAGGAGUAUGUAAGAAAGUAACUUUAAAUAAAUUUAAUUAGCCACGGAUGUAUUGUGGAAAAAUAAGCAACUUAGCCACGGUUGUGGUGUGGCAAAAUCAGAAACUUAGCCACGGUUCGACUGUAGCUGAAUUAAACAGACUGUGGCUAAAUAGAUGUUACCACAUUUCACAGAAGUGUAGCGAAAUAACAUAAUGACCGUGGCUAAUUUUUAGCAACACCAUUCCUUGCCACAACGACAUUAAGUGUGGCCACUCAAUCUAGCUACGGUUUUUCCCUACUUUAGCCACGGUUUCAACCGUGGCUAACAGGAAGUUUUGUUGUAGUGCAAGUUGUGAAAUAGGGCUGCUCCACCAAAGAUAAGAUCUGCCACACUCGCAGGAGCAGUUCCAAUUUUCUUCAAAAAAUGAAUAUUAUAAAUUUAAAAAAGUUUAAUAUUCUCACGUGAUAUAUUAUUUAUACAAGAACAACAUACAUAAUAUGUCUCCUAUUUAAUUGUUCGUUGGUAAACAUAUUUUUUAUCAUAUUUUUUAUGUCAUAGCUAAUUUUCUAAUAAAUGAAAUAGUUAGUGAAAAAAUAAUUACUAAGGGGUGGAAGAGAUAAAGAGUAGAUAUAAAAAAUAAAAUAAAAAUUAUACAAGCCACAGACAAUAUAAUAUUAUAUCCAAGUACAUCAAUUUAUACAAGGUUGUUUUUCAAAUUAUAAAAUUGUAUUUCUCGUGUUAUUGCUAGAUUCCUCAAUAUAUUUUAUAAGAAAAUUAUAAAAUUACAUGGCAGACAAAAAUUCAUUAGAUUUGUUUAGUUACAUAAAAUACUCAAUAAUGUUAUAGAUUUAUACUAAUGACAAUACUUAUAAUUCAGACCAAUGAUAUUGUAGAGUUUUUUUAUUUUCAACCAAAUUUUAAUUUAACAUAAUUGUUGGGAUAAAAACUGUGACAAAGAAAACAUGCAUGCCACUUACAAUAUGAUCAUCAACAUAUUCAUACAAGACUUCAAUGAUUUGAUGUGAGAGGUGCAUUGGGUUCCUUCCAUGGAAGUCUAAAUAGAAUAAUUUGAAGCCAACUCUAAAAGGAUUAAAUUAGGUGCAUCACAUAAUAUAAUAAAACCAAUUAGUAUAAAGAGGAUAACUAAUUUCUAAGAGAAAAAUUAGUAUAAAAAGGAUAACUAAUUUCUAAGAGAAAAAGGAGUGUGUUGAGAUUAUGAAAUUAUCCGUAUUAUUAUAUGUUAUAUGCAUAUUUGGUAUCUUAAGAAAUCAGUAUCAUUAUGUUAUCUACACUUUGUUGCAAAUAGGUAGAUGGUAUCUACUUUUAUCAUCAAGACUUGAUGUCAUUAUAACCUAUAGGUUUAAGUGUUAGAUAUGAUGUGAGCUAUACUUUGAAUGAUUUUACUUUACUUUAUUGGUUGCUCCUACAUUCUACAAUACAACAAAGAAUUGACUAAUAGUAACUACCCUAAAGAAAAAAAUAACAAAGCUAAUAAAAUAACAUUUAUUUCUUCAUUCAUAAUCAUACAAGAGACAACAUCACACAAAAUACAAUAUUCUAGAAAUACAAGUAUUGAAAUACUAUUAUCUAAGCUAUAGUAUUAACAAUUGUUUAGUUACAUGAUUAUUGAAAUACUUCCUCCAAAUUAAAGACCCUGAUAACUAUAUCAAUAUUAGUAUCAUGUAUGUAAUGAAAGCCAAGAUCACCAUUGUCAACUUUUCAGGCCUAUCACAUAAAGAUGUUCCUCCCUUUUCACUUCUACCUUUUCCAAAUGAAGGAGCAGAGACAUUAACCGGCGAUGAACCUAGAUCAAUAAUUUAAAUUAAAUAUAUCAAAAUUAAGUUAUAGAAAAUCAAAGAUAGCCAAAAUAUUUGAUUUAGUUAUCCUUGAUACUCUUAGCUCAUGUAACUUUAUAGUAAUGUAGGUAAAACUUACAAUUAUAAUUAGUCCAUCCAAUCUGUUGACUAACAAGAUCAUACACAAUAAUUUUGCCUUUUAAUAUAAUGUCCGCCAAAAAAGGUAAAUUGUCAUCGGUGUCUUAAUCUUGGAGACGAGAUAACAUGACCUCACAGAAUAAACAAGAAUGGUACUUUUAGAUUAAUUCUAAAUGAAUUUUAAGAUUUUAACUAUUUUUAGUUGAACUUCAAUCAUAUGCCAAACUUACUUUACAUAUCCUUUCAAUGCAUCUCACCAAAUAAAAUGACAUAAAUAUAGGAGCUAAAAGUUUAGAGUGUCAAUAUACAUCUUAGAAUUGUUAUAAGUCAAGGCACCACAAUCCUCCAUAAAACUGUAAUGCACAAGGCAUCAUCAAACUAGUUAGAUAACAUGAAAAUAAAUAGUACAUACAUAAAUUAUAUAUAGUACUUGAUGUACAUGAGGAAUAAAGACGUGUAAUUAAUCAAAGCACUCAGUCGUGCCUACAAUUAGCCAUGAAAUUCUUUGAAAAUAAUGAAUACAAACUAAUCCUAUCAUAAAGUUCAGGCUUAAAUACUUACAGUUGAAAAUUGUAUAAGGUAAUCUUGUGGCCUUAAAACCAUAGAUGCAUGGUUAGCAAAAUUCAGACUUAUUGGAGGAAAGAUGUCAGAGAUGCUUAACACCCUAAAAAGAAAAAAUGUUUAGAAAGUGUUAGAAAAUCCUCUAUUUUUAACAUGCAGUCGGUUAAAAAAUGGCAGGAAAUAUUUCACAAAGAUGUAUAUGAAUAUUCAACUUAACCUGGUGGUUACCAAGUAACAGUGAAAUCCAUUAGAAACAGUAGUGCCUAUAGAUUGGGGAAUUCUACGAUUAAUCUACACAAAUAAUAUAUUUGUCAUUAAUUAUUGAUAAAUCUCGAGGGAAAAUGGCAUCUCAAUAUUUUUUUAAAAAACACAUGGAGCGCAUAAAAAAUCAAAGCAAUAUUUAUCUUUACCAAAUGGAUGAGAAAAAACAAUCUAAGCAAAACUCAUCGCGUCAACAAUGGAAUUGUAGGCCUCUUCGAUAAAGUACGCCAAAGUUGAUCCAGAAUCAAUCAUGGCACCUUUAUUACUUGAUGUUAUAAAGACUGCUGGAUCAAUCUGCAUUGUGUGUCUGUUGACAGAAAUACUCUCCAGGUUUAAAUUAUAAUGAGGUCUGGAAUUUUUUCCAAGUAAGUUAUUAGUGUUAAUAUUUUCUAACAAAUUUCAUUCAAGUAAUUUCAAUAUAAAUAGUAUUUCUAUAGUGACAUAUUUAAUCCAACUUCUGCAUAUUAUUUGACACAAUAAUGAACACAUGUCUUCGGUUAAAAAACACCCAAAAAAUAACAAGACAAGAUGAUAAUCAUAAAAGAAUUAACUCAUAAUUUGAUAUGGUCCAUUUUACCACAUAAUGGAGAUGACCAACAUAUAUAACACUUAACAAACACCACAUAAGAUAUCACAUGUAGGAAUUAAAACAUAUCAUUUUAUUCUAGACAGAACACACUUAUUGUUUUGGAAUAAGUGGAGUAUAACUCAUGUUUGGCUCCAAAACCUCACCAAGAACAAGUAUGCCCCCACCACUAGUAUCUCCUUUUAGACAAUGAGAGAAUACUCUAGGAGCUUUUCCUUGUGAAUAAAGUUGAGAGAUGAGAGAUGUGUUGUCUUUCCCAAAUCCAAAUAUCCCAUCAAGCGCUCUCUCAUACAAUGUCAAUCUCCCAUUCCGCAUGUUACUACAACUAUUCCAUAAUACAACAUACAAAAUAAUGUUUUCAAAGUUAAACCUUUCAUGAAGAAAAAUAGAAGCAACUAAAAAAAUAGAAAUGUUAUUUUAAUUAUUGAGGUUUAUGAUAACUCACCCAAAAACUAAUGGCACAGAUGAAUUUGGUGCCACUGGACCCUCUGAAAUAUUGGCAACAUGCAUUAAGUCUGAAACAAUGUAGCCUAAUGUCUCACCACCAUCUUCAUACUGAACUUUAAAGCUACAAUGGUUGUUGGUGGAACAAAUUGCACACUUAUGGUGUGAACAAGGGAUGACCGAAGAUGUUGAUGAACUCUCAGGGUCAAAAUAAUUGAGCUUAAUCUAUAACAAAAGCCACUAAUGAUGACAUGAUCUAUGUUAUACAAUUAAAAAAUUGCAAUUGGAGCUGUCAAAAUGGAUCAAAACUUAAAGUGUUUCAAUUCCUUAAAGUGUUUCAUUUACAACUUAAAGUGUUUCAAUUCCUUUUAAAAUAUUUUGAGCAUUACUACUUUAAUAUAUUAAAGAGUAUAGGAUAGAAAUACAUAUUUUGAGCAUUCAUUUUAAAAUCUUCUUUGUCUUCAUAAGUAUUCUUCCUUUUCUUCUUUUUGGUGAUGUUGGUGUCUUCAUCAAAAUCUUGCUAAGGUCAGGAGCCAAGAUCUUCUUCAUAGGGGCUACUCGUAUAUUUAUUUUUCCUUUUUAGUUUUACUCUAAAUGAUGCUAUCUUUUGCAACAAAAUAUCACUAGCUACAAAUAGUAUGAAAGAUGCACUCCACUAAUGGUGGCAAUUGGAUGGAUAUGGAUUUGGAUCAGAAGGGAUUGAUGAAAAGUCAUCUACCAAUCCAUAUAAAUCCAUAAAAUCACAUUUCUAAACUAUCCAAUCCAUUCAUAUGGAUUCCAAUCCGUUCAUUCCAUCCAUAUCCAUUUUAAUGGAUUGUAUGAAUGAAUAUUUAAUCCAAUUUUUUUAAUUUGAACUAAAGCAUUUUUUGAAGUAAAAAUCCUUUAAAAAUUAUUAUUUAAUAAAGCAAUCAUGCAAUCAUGCAUUUUUUCUUAUGCUCAAUCAUGACACAAAAAUGUUAUACCAAUCUUUAUUGAAAUUUUUUUAAAGAAUGUGUUGAAUAAAAUGAUCAUAGUGUUGAAGGACAAAAGUUCGGGAGAAGGAAUAAUACAUUGUUGGAGACAUGAAAUCUUUCAGUUCAGAUAUAGUAUGAUGUGCAUUUCAUAACCCAAAAAGUUGAGAUGUAUAUGAGUUAGAUAACAAGUUUUAAUGUAUUUUGAAGAUAUAAAGUUUUAGGAAAUAUUCCUUUCAACCACAACACCAUUACAAUAACAUUAGACUAGAUGAUAGGAAUAUGUCCUUCAUUCAUGUAACAUAGAUUAUAGUGGAUUCUUCUUUUUUUUAACGAUUUUACUUUACUUUAGUGGCUUCUUCUAUAUUCUACAAUUCAACAAAUAAUUGGCACAUAAGAGACACAUGAAAAUAUAGGUUGCUAAAAAUUACUAACUGCACUUUUUUAUUAAAGAAAAAUCUGUUAAAAGAUAAUGGAAAUGUAUUUGUGAAGGGCGCAAGAGAGAGAUAAAGAAUCGUAACAUGCAUGAAUGUCUUUUCUCUCCUCUCUAAACCAAUAAAUUGUGAUCCAUGUUAGUAAAAUUUUUUGAUGUAUAUACAAAUAGUGUAAGAGUUUUAUAUACUAUCAAUCUAUUAUUUAUGAUUCAUUUUUAAUACUCUUCAAAUAUAAUACAAAUAAAUGAUGAAUGAUGUAUUAUUUAUGUAUAAAUUCUUGCACUACAGUGCAUACACUCAAAAAAAUUAGAAAUCAUUACUUUGGUAAUUUAUUUUACAAACAUCUAAUAUUGAGUUUUUUUAAUAACAUGAAAAAAUAUAAUUGGUUGGAACUGAGAUAGGAUAACAUUUUGGUACAGUUAAUUUCUAUUCAUUAUCAUAUAGAGCUAAUGGAUGGAUAUAGUACAUUGUGCAUUUCACAACUCAUAACAUUGACUUUUGUGAAAUCUUAAUUCUCAUUUUAAAUAUUAGUUCUUUUUUAUAUCAACCUAACAAUAUAAUCUCUCAGAUUUACAUACACUAUUAUUUAUAUUGAUAUAAUAUAUUUCGACAGCCCCUUCAAGCUGGAGAGUGAAAAAUAUGAACUCUCAGCUUGUAAUUGAUUUGAAGCAAUAACAAUGCUUAACCAUUUAUGACAGAAGUUAUAUCAUCAAACGCUUAACCAUUCAUGACAGAAGCUAUAUCUUUGCUUAACCACCAUAGACAGAAACUAAUCAUCCAAUGCUUAACUAUGUGUAACAAAAGUUAUAUCUGAGCUUAAUCAUCAUAGACAGAAGCAACCGAAUCAUUCAUUAUGAAAGAAAGAAAAAACGGAUCAGAACAUUGAUUCUAAUAUGAUAUUUCAAUCAUAUAAAAUUACACACUAUAACAUUGUCAUGUGUUUAUGAGAGGGUAAGAAAACAAAGUAUGAAUGAAAAUAAAGAUAAUUGGUACAUCUAGAGGCCCACAUAACUCAUUCACUGAAAUUGUUUCCUUGAUUGGACAUAAGUAAUAAGACAAGCAUAAGCUACUUCAAAAUGCACCCCACGUUGAACAACUACUUUAAUCACAUGUUGCUUCAACCUAAAGGGAAACUUUCUUGAGAAAUUGAUAGAAAUGAUAUCGACCUCCAUUUUCUGACAAGGGAGAUCAAACGAAUUUUGAUUCAAUGGCUUCACAACAACCAAAUCAUAAGUCUUCAAAAUCAGGUUUCUCGAAUUCAUAGCCUGACACUGGAUUCCAGAUUUCUUGUUAGAACUUGAUGGCUCUGUGUAGGGUAUGUUUAGGUCCAUGUACCCCAUGCGCAGUGCAACAAAAGGGAAAAGAAUGAAAGUUUUUGAAAACCAUCAUUGAGGUUGCAACUGGAAGUAUUAAAAUCACAAGAAACCCAAAGAUUGUAGUAUGUUUUGCAAGAAAAACUUAUCUUUAUUGCCAAAUAACAAUAGUCAUUUCUUGCAAAUUUGAAAAUGUGAUAUUUUAUGGCAACACUUUUGAUGACAAAUCACUUUGAUCUUCUACAUGCUCCCAUGGGAUAAAGAGUGUUAAUAUAUGUGGGGUUUUGAAGAAAUAAGAGAAAGCUGUGUUAAUGGAGAAUCUGGACCAUGUUGAAGAAUGAUCUUGGACUUUCUUGAGGCAAUCAUCUUCUCUUCUUCAAGUACAAGAAGCUGGCAAUGCAAUUCUUCAAGAUUUAUUGUAUUUGUCUAUCUCUGUGACAACAAUCACAAUUUCACUUACUCUCUCUAAUUCUCCAUUGAUUCUUCCUCUGUCCAAUGGCAGAUUUUAUGUCAAAAACUCUUAUUGCUUUAGCACUCAUAGCUGCGUUCUUACUAUGCUCCUCCCAUUCUAAAGAUUCAGAAGUUCCUUUCUUGUCACCAUUGAUAUCUAUGCUCCUCUCAUGCUAAAGGCUGAUGAUGAAAAAAUGGAAUUGAAUGAUGAUAAUUCAUUGUUGAAUCUUGGAAUGAUGGAAUCAUAAGCCAAAGCGGUAAAAGCAUAAGCUAAAGAUCUACUUGUAGUACAAGUCAUUUAUUUGUAUUUCUCUUUUCUUCUUUUCAUUUCAUUUUUCCACAAUUCAUCCUUUGAUUUUUUUUCACUCCCCUUUUUGUGGAGUAUUUCUUUUCUUUCUUUUUUUCAUGGGAUGAAUGGUGUACUACAAUACUUAUUUCCCACUUUUUUCAUAGAUACAUUUUCCUCUCCCCAACUUAGAAUUUAACUCAAUGUAACACUUAACUCUCUUAUGUAAGAAUAAGAUUGCAACUAAGAGAGGGGGCAGGAGGGUGAAUUAGUUGACUUAAAAUUAUAGUAACUUUUUCUGCAAAAAGUAAGAGUUAAAGUGCAACGGAUAAUAUUGCAGAAAAAUAAACAAAAAUAAAAUAAAUAGAUAAGGGAAAGGAGAGUACACAAUGAUUUUAUACUGGUUCACCUUCUUGUCCACCGAAGACUACGUCCAGUACUCUUACAAUCCAAUCAACUCUCUUUGUAUACUUAGUAAUAAUGCUCAAUAGAUUUGUAAAACUUUGAAACAAUUACUUCAAGUAACUCAGAAAAAAGUCUCUUUUGAAAGUUUAAGAACUUAGUGCAAAAGUGCAGAAAAAUAGUGAGAGAAUUUUGCAGAGUCGUGUGAGAGUUGUAUAAAAGUUGUGUGUUUAUGUUGUGAGAGUUAGAGUAUUUAUAUAGACUUUCCAAACACCCAUAGUGUCUUUCUGAAAGUGUAGGAGUUGUUUGAAGUGAAGAGAUUUCACUUGGAGUGAAAACAUUUCGUUUUGAAAUCUGAAAUCUCAUGCAACAGUCUUCAGUAAUCGAUUAUUGAUAGUGGUAAUCGAUUACCCAAACUCACUGUCUACUGUUUAUUUAAAAACGAAUUAGAGUAAUCGAUUACACCAUUUGGGUAAUAGGUUACUCAACUUUUGUAAAACUGGUAAUCUGUUACUCAAAGGCAGUAAUUGAUUACUCUUAACAGAUUUAAGUUGGAUAACUCUUUUUCUCUCACAUGUAACUUGUUACUUGAAUGAAGUAUCCUGUUACACAUCAUUUAAAAAAAUGUUUUAAGUAUUUUUAAAGUGUUUCAUUAUUCUUUAAAAAUGGUUUGAGCAUUACUACUUUGCAUAACAAGGAGUUUUAGGAUAGAAGUACCUAUAGAGACUUCUUCUUUGUCUUCAUAAGUAUUCUUCCUUUUCUUCUUUUUGGUGAUGUUGGUGUCUUCAUCAAAACCUUGCCAAGGUCAAGAGCAAAAAUCUUCUUCACAAUCUCCCCCUUUUGAUGAUGACAAACCAAGAUCUUCUUGACAGUGUAAUUUUCUUGAGAGCAGCAUUCUUUGAGAUAUGUUGAAGUUUGACUUGAGUAUGCUCCCCCUAUUUUGUAUGCUCCCCCUAUUUUGUAUCCUCCCUCUUUCUUUCUUUCGGAGUAAUGCGCCUGAAAUAAUUUUACAGAAAAUACACUCCCAACUUUUCUCCCUCUUUUGACUUCAUCAAAAAGUAUAAAAGCAAAAAGAUUCCAGCACAAUAUAUAGCAUACAUACACUUUAUAUAGUUAAGAUAUAACAAUUUUGUAGAAUAUAUUCAUGUAAAUAUAUAGAUAAGUAUUGCAAUGCAUAAAUAAGAUGUUGUAAUCAAAUAUCCAGGAAUGGAAUAAUAAAGCAUAAAAUAUCAUAAAGUAAUUUAUCCAGAAAUAUGCAGCAAUAACUCAAAAACAACAACCAAGUAAAAAUUUAUCUGAGAUAUUAAAAUAGUACAACCAAAAAAUCCUAACAACAGUUAUACUAAGAUUCAGGCUCUGAAUUGUCUUCAUCAAUAUCCAUGCUGUCCAUUCUAGAGGAGAGGCAGUGAAGUUCAUAUUGGAUUUGUUGAUUCUAAGAGCCGAGAGCAUCCAUCCGGUUAGUGAUGUAGCCUCGGAGAGAAACCAACUCAUCCAUAAUCAUUUGGUUCGAGGGCAUUGCAGCAGAUGAGGAUGAUUGAACAUGAAACUUAGAUGGCUGUGAAGGGUUAGGAGCUUCAGGAUCAGAUGGUUCAGCAUCAAUGGUCGGCUUGUCGAUUCUAUGCGUAUAAGUGCGGGUUCUGAGGUCUUUGGUGAAACCCAUUUUGUGGAUCAUAUCCAUUUGAUAUAACUGAAAAUUAAGAGAACAAAAAUAUGCAAAUAAUAGCCUAAUAGCUUCAAGUCUAGCAACUGGAGUGAAGGUUUCAUCAAAGUCUAUACCUUCUUCUUGAUUGUAUCCUUGGACUACUAGUCUAGCUUUAUUUCUAAUGAUAACACCAUUUUCAUCAGAUUUAUUUCUAAAGACCCAACGAGUUCCAUUUACAUGCCUAUUUUUCGGUCCAGGAACAAGUUCCCCAACUUCAUUCCUCUCAAACUGGUUUAAUUCUUUUUGCAUAGCAAGAAUCCAGUGUUCAUCCUCGAUUGCAUCAUCAAUCUUGGAGGGUUCUAUCUAAGAGACGAAGGCCAUGUUUAGACAAGCAUCAAGCAUUCUACGAGUAGUUAUACCUUUACUUAUAUCACUGAUGAUGUUGUCAAUAGGAUGAUUUCGAUGAGUUCUCCAUUCUUUUGGUAGAUCUGAGUGAAUAUGCUCUUCUUGAGAAGAUAGAUUAUCAUCCAUUCUCAAUUCUUCAGGUUCGGUUGUAACAUCAACAAUAGAAUUAUCUUUAGCAGGGGAACUUGGCAAGUCGUCUUCAUCAUAGAAUAUCACAUCUUUUAAUACAUGAUUGGUUUCAUCAAAAGUUACAUGAACAGAUUCUUCCAUGGCUAGAGUUCUUUUAUUAAAGACUCUAUAAGCUUUACUCAUGAGAGAAUAGCCCAAGAAAAUUCGUUCAUCAGCUUUUGCAUCAAACUUGCCCAAGUUAUCCUUACCAUUGUUCAGAACAAAACAUUUACAACCAAAAACAUGUAGAUGAGAAAUGUCAGGUUUUCUUAAGAAUAGGUCUUAUAAGAACUCGAUUCGAAACAUAACACACAGUGCUAACUACAUCAGCCCAAAAGUAUUUUCGGAGGUUAGUUUCAUUUAACAUUGUUCGAACCAUUUCUUCUAAGGACUGAUUCUUUCUCUCUACAAGACCAUUUUGUUGAGGUGUUCUAGGAGGAGAAAAAUUAUGGUUGAUCCCAAGAUCAUCACAGAAUUCCUCAAAAGAGGAGUUUUGAAAUUCUUCCCCAUGAUCACUUCGUAUAGCAGCAACUUUUAGAGAUUUUUCAGUCUGAACUCUUUUAGCAUAAAUGCUAAAGACUUUGAAUGCCUCAUUCUUAUGUAAUAAGAAUAGAGUCCAAGUAUAUCUGGAAAAAUCAUCCACUAUAACAAGAGCAUAAUAAUUUCCACCAAAACUUUUUGUCCUUGAGGGACCAAAUAAAUCUAUAUGAAGUAGUUGUAAUGGUCUAUUAGAAGAAACCAUGUGCUUUGGUUUGAAAGAAGUUUUUGUUUGUUUACCCAUUUGACAAGCACUACAUAGUAUGUCUUUAACAAACUUCAUUUUGGGUAAACCAACAACUAAAUCUUUCUUAAUGAGUUUAUUCAAAUGUUCCAUNNNNNNNNNNNNNNNNNNNNNNNNNNNNNNNNNNNNNNNNNNNNNNNNNNNNNNNNNNNNNNNNNNNNNNNNNNNNNNNNNNNNNNNNNNNNNNNNNNNNGCUAUACAUCAUGAUUAUCAUUUACUACUAAACAUGUUAUAGGUAAAGCAGAAUUCAUGUCAAUAAUAUAUAUAUUAUUUAUUCUCUUACCAAUAAGUUUAGAAUUAUUCUUACUUUCAAUGAUACAUUUAUCUGGGUAGAAUGCCACAUGAAAUCCUUUGUCGCAUAAUUGACUUAUGCUUAGAAGGUUGUGUUUGAGUCCUUCAACAUAUAGUACACCUUCUAUAGUUGUUGAUGGUGGCUUUCCAAUUCUACCAACUCCAAGAAUUCCUCCCUUGUUGUUGUCACCAUAUGUGACAUAUCCUUUGUCCCUUGGAGUAAAGACAAAGAAUUUAUCGCCCGUCAUAUGUUUUGAGCAGCCACUAUCCAGGUACCAUAAAUUGCAGGCGGCUCUCAUGUUUUCCUACAAAACAAAUUAAGUUUUGUUAGGUAUCCAAUAUUCUUUGGAUCCUAGAUGGUUAGUAUCUUUCUCGACCCAUUUAAAUUUUCCUAGGCGUACACCAUAUUUUCUAAUCAUGCAUGUGUUUGGUGUAUGCCCAUGAACUUUACAGUAUGUACAUAUGGGUUGAUGAAAGUGUAUCCUAGAUUUUUCAAAUGUAUGGAUACUUUCCUUUUGAGAGAUUAUUUUCUUUUGGACACUUAGUUUCUUGAAACCAUGGAUUUUUGAAUAGCCAAGACCUCUUCGGUCUGUUAAGUGUCUUUGAUCAUUAAUAAUCUUUUCUAGGCUUUUGCCACUUUUGUUUAGUUUAUUAAGUUCAAGGCUCAAUGUUAAUACUUUAUUUUCAAGAGUGAUGCAUUUUUGACAAGAGGAUGAAGAAGAUUUGUUUCUAAAUGCAUCUAUUUCAGAUUUUUGUUUUAGAAACAUUUUUGAUAAUUUAACAUAUUCAUCAUGUAAAUCAUUAAAUGCAGAUUGAAGUUCGGAAGAAGAAAAUAUAUUAGAGUUGUUUACCUCUUCAUCAUCAGAAUGAUGAGACGCCAUAAGUGAUAGACGUGCUUGCUCUUCGUUUUCUGUUUCAGAUGCAGAACUUGUAUCAUUGUCUUCCAAAGCAAUGUAUGUUCUUCGUCCAGUCUUUAUAUCAUUCUUUCCCUUGAAAGAACCCUUUUCAAAUUUGGACAAUCCAUCUUUAUGUGACCAGGUUUGCCACAUUCAAAACAUGUAAAGUUUUGGCUUGAGGUGGAGGCAUCAUUGCUUUUGGUGAAUUUCCUUGUUUGGCCAGUUUUUGCGCCUUUGUUCCUUUUUAGGUACUUGCUGAAUUUCUUAACGAAUAGACUUAUAUCUUCCACAUCACCUUUUUCUGAUUCAUCUCUAGAUGAGUCAUAUCUAUCUACUUUUUCUUUUAGAGAAAUAUUUUUCUUCUUCUUUUCUUGCUCCUCGUGUUGAUCAAGUUGACUAAAUUCUAGUUCGUCUUCCUGCAAUUUGCCAAACAAAGCAGCCAAAGAUAUUUUGGAUAAACUUUUCUUUUCAGAAAUUGUAGUUACCUUUGGUUGCCAUAUUUUGGUGAGUGAUAUAAGAAUUUUUAAGUUUAAGUCACUAUUUGAUAGAACUUUGCCAAGUGCAAGAAGGUGAUUGGUAAGAUGAGUAAAUCUCUUUUGUAGAUCAAGAAUCUUCUCUCCAGGCUGAGUCUUGACCUUUUUACUUCCUCUGUUCCUUCGUGUGUGGUCUCUAGAAUAUCUCAUAUUUCUUUUGCAGAUUUAUAAUUUGAUACUCUAAAGAAUUCAUCAAUACGAGAGCGAAGGUGAGAAUGUUCUUUGCCUUUAAAUCAUAUUGUACCUUAUUUUUGUCUUCAUCGUUCCAUGAUGAUUUUGGCUUUAUUUGCCUUAUAUUGUUGAUAACAGUAAAGGGUAUAUAUGGUCCUUCUUCAAUGGCGUUCCAUAUGUCUAAGUCUUGAGAUUCGAUAAAGAUCCUCAUUCUAAUUUUCCAGAAAUCAUAGCAUUCUCCAACAAAGCUUGGAGGGCGGUUAAUGUUGGACCCUUCUCCUAGGAAUGAUCUUGAGGCCAUCUUGAUGUAGGAUCAGAUUUGAGAGUAUCUUACUCAAAUAUAGCUAUGAUACCAGUUGUAAGAACAAGAUUGCAACUAAGAGGGGGGUGUAUUAGUUGACUUAAAAUUAUAGUAACUUUUUCUGCAAAAAGUAAGAGUUAAAUUGCAGCAGAUAAUAUUGCAGAAAAAUAAACAAGAAUAAAUUAAAUAGGUAAGGGAAAGGAGAGUACACAAGGAUUUUAUACUAGUUCACCUUCUUGUCCACCGAAGGCUACGUCCAGUACUCUUGCAACACAAGAGAUUUUCCACUAAAUAUUUUGAGUAGUAAUUACAAAGUCUCACCCCGAGAUCUCUAAGUACCUUACCCACUCACUAAUAUUUAUACCCAUGGAAAAUACUUUUCCAANNNNNNNNNNNNNNNNNNNNNNNNNNNNNNNNNNNNNNNNNNNNNNNNNNNNNNNNNNNNNNNNNNNNNNNNNNNNNNNNNNNNNNNNNNNNNNNNNNNNCACACCAUGUGAAAGAAAGUUUACUGCAAUGAAUGAAGAAUCUCAAUGAUGGCUUUGGAUUGCCUUUACAAGUAUGAAAUAUUAUAACACUUGCAAUUCAAUCAACUCUCUUUGUAUACUUAGUAAUAAUGCUCAAUAGAUUUGUAAAACUUUGAAACAAUUACUUCAAGUAACUCAGAAAAAAUUAUCUUUUGAAAGUUUAAGAACUUAGUGCAAAAAUGCAUAAAAAUAGUGAGAGAAUUUUUCAGAGUAGCAUGAGAGUUGUAUAAAAGUUGUGUAUUUAUGUUGUGAGAGUUAGACUCUUUAUAUAGACUUUCCAAACACCCAUGGUGUCUUUCUGAAUGUGUAGGAGUUGUUUGAAGUAAAGAGAUUUCAUUUGGAGUGAAAACAUUUCAUUUUGAAAUCUAAAAUCUCAUGCAACAGUCUCCAGUAAUCGAUUACUGAUAGUGGGUAAUCGAUUACCCAAACUCAAUGUGUAGUGUUUAUUUAAAAACGAAUUAGAGUAAUCGAUUACACUAUUUCGGUAAUUCGUUACUCAACUUUUGUAAAACUAGUAAUCUGUUUCUCAAAGGCAGUAAUGGAUUACUCUGAACAGUUUUAAGUUGGAUAACUCUUUUUCUCUCACAUGUAACUUGUUACUUGAAUGAAGUAACUCGUUACACAUCAUUUCAAAAAAUGUUUUAUGUAUUUUUAAAGUGUUUCAUUAUUCUUUAAAAAUAGUUUGAGCAUUACUACUUUGCAUAACUAAGAGUUUUAGGAUAGAAGUACCUAUAGAGACUUAAUCUAAUUUUCUUGAAGCUUUAAUCUUCUUUGUCUUCAUAAGUAUUCUUCCUUUUCUUCUUUUUGGUGAUUGAAUACAGAUAUGUGCAAAGAAUCGUAUGCGGGUCCCAUUGUGCAUUUUCCUUCUAGCGCAGACAUACAGUGUCAAAAACUUUAUGGUCCUGGUUGCAAAUGUAUUCGCACAUAUUAUUGUCCACCACCGCCAUUUGAUAAACUUUGGAUCCAAGCAUCACAAGAAUGAGUAUCAAAAGUGUGUGUUGGAAUAAUA